rnacentral:lncRNA from 1 species
UUUUCUUGAUUAGAUAAAAGAAAAAAAUUAAUUAGGGAGCGAUUACUUUCUUAAAUGACCUAUGAACGAUGAACCGCAUUCGCCUACCUAAUGUUCCACUACUUUUUUUUAAAUUAAUUUGUAGUGGUCGGCUGCAUGAUUUUUCAACUUUUGUUUUAUUUUUUCUGUUUUUGACUGGCACGGGCCCGACCACUGCAAAUUUAUUUGAGAAUAUUAUAGUUAACAAAUAUGUAACACAAAGUUUGAAGUCGAAACAGGAAAAUUAAAGAUGCUACAAUGAUUAAAACUUUCAUUGAAUUCUAAAUUCAGCUUUUCAGUAGGGACUCCUUUGCAUAAUUGUUGAUAGAAUAUCGACUAUUAGUAAAUAUUUUAUCAUGCAGUAUAAAGAAGAAUAAUCUAGCUCCUUUUCUUUCAGCAUAGCAGCAAAAGCACUGAUCUCCAAAAUAAUAACUCAUCUAAAAUUAGACAAAUCAAUAAUCAUCACUGAGCAUAAUAAUUUCGUGCCAUGAAAGUACUGAUAGGAUAGACUCCACUUUAAAUGAGGUGAAUUUUAAAUAAUUUUUGAAGAAUGGGUAGAGAAUGAGGAAAAAAUAAUUCUCAAAUUCUUAAUGGGGUGGGGUUGGUUUUGUACUUCCUACCCCAUCCCCACCCCAAAUCCUAUUAUAAAUGAAUAUUUUUUUAGUUUUUAUUCAAUAUUUUAUUUUAUCAAUUAAAAUGUUGGUUAAUAAAUUUUCUUUUUAUUUACCUAAUAUAAAUAAGUUAUAACUAAAAGAAAAACCUACAUUAUAAUACUUAUUUAACCCUAAAGCAUUCUUAUGUUUUCUUUUUCCUCUUAAGAUACUAUUCUCUUCAAACAUUUUUUUAAUUUUACUAUUAGUUCAAGAUAUUAUUUCAACCUUUUGGAGAUUUUUUAAAACAAUUUAAAUAAUUUGUAAUAUGAUAAUGAAUUUAUUUAAGUUUCUAAUUUUUAAUUUACUGAAAUCAUUUAUCUAUACCUAUUAUAAAAUAAGUAAAUAGAGAAUAGGGUAGGGAUAGAGAAAUCAUUCUUCACAUGAGAAUUCUUCAUCCCCACUCCACUGAAUUUUAUUGGGAAAUGGGAUGAGGAAUAGAGAUAAAAAUUUUAAUGGGGUGGGUAAUGAGGUAGGCCUCUCCACCCCCACCUCACACCAUUGAUGUCCCUACAUAAAAGAAUAGAAGAUCACUUACCUUUUUUUUUUAAUUUGAUGUAACUCUAAAUCAAUAUUGACUACAAAACAUACGUAUAAGUAUAGAGUUGUUAAAUAAACAUAUGAAAUGAGAGCAUAGGAAAUUAAGUACUUUCUUGAAUCAAAGUAAAGUUGUCUUGAUAACAUGUUGCAAAUCUAAUUAGGAAGUAUCUAAACUAUACAAAGAACAUGAAGAAAGUGUUGAUAACCAACAACUUAAACUUUGAGAUGGAGAAUUCUAAUUCCUUUCUCUUGCUAGUAAUAUUGUUUGAGGAAAAAUGAGAUGAUAUUACAUGCAGAGAUGCUACCAAUUUAUAGUAAAACAAAACUUUUCAAUUGUUUACAAGUGUCAACACAAAAAUAUUAUAUUAAUAUGAUAAUAGAACAAUUUGGGUAAUAUACUUCUAUGACUCACAAUUUAAAUAAAUUAGAGGAUUUUAUAUAAAGUGGUGGAAAAUUCAUAAUAAUCAUAACAUAUUGUCACGGCAUAAAUAAUUUGCACAGCAAUCCAUGUGAAACUUAAAUAACUUCUAGCACAAAAGUUGCUAAUUAAACCUAUCAAACUUCUCAAACUAGCUAAGAAAAGAUGAUUGCAAAAAAGCUGGAGAGAAGAGAGCAAUGUAGCCAAAACGAAUUUUAUUACUUGAAAGAGAGAAUACAAGAGAGCAUUACAAGUAUGCUUGAUCUACUUAUGCUUGGUGUGUGGUGUCGUGCAAAAUGGUGGAUGCCAUGCCCUAUUUAUAGGGAGGCUUGCCUAGAUCUAGAGAGUUCUAUGCAACUUGCGUAACUUGCCUAGUUAUCUAGUAAGUUCUAGAGUACGCAACUAUAGAAUUAUUUAGAUAUUUACAGUUGCUAUUGUAUUGUAGAGAUUUCUAAAAUUGGAUUGGACUUGGUUACCUUGGGUUUUGGAUUGAGCGCACCUUGCUACUUAGCAUACUUCGUGUUUGGGCAGUCUUUUAUUGAGCUCACCUUGGCAGGCUAGUUUGGCCUCCUUUAGUGGUAAAUUUGAGUGGUCCGUUACAAUAUGCUAUCUUUUCUUAGUUUAAAAAAAAAUUAAUUAUAGAAACUCUUCUUUGAAAAUGACUCCGAUGAAUUUGCAUUUGUCUUUAUAUAGGAAAAAAGGCCUCACCACUAUAAUAAAUGUGUUUAUUUAUUGGUAAUCGGAAUUAAAUUAAUGAUCUGUUUACUUGCUUGAAUGAGAGAAGGAAUUUGAAUCAAAGUGAUGGGCCCAAACUAAAAUAAGGAGUGAUUACUAGAGUUCACAUUCCUAUGAGAGGAGGUGCAAAUGGGAAUCCCAUUCCCUGAGGUAACAAUAUUACUCCCACUCAAAUUUUAAAAUUCUUAUUUUUUCCUUCUUUAUAUAUUAUUAUUAUUAUGAAAAAUUUAUUGAUGAUGAUGAUGAUAAUUUUUAUUAUUGCUAUUAUUAUUAUUAAUUACUAUUACUAUUAUCAAAAUAAUUAGUACUAUUUUAUUUUAUUAUUAUAAUAAUAAUAGUAGUAUUGAUAAUAAUAAAAUUUUUAUUAUUGAUAUUAUUUAUAAUCAUCAUAUUAAUAAUAGUAAUUAUUAUUAUAGUAAUUUUAUUACUAAUAUUAAUUAUAUUUAACAAUUCUCAUUUUAUCAUGACAUGCAAACAUAAUGAAGUUAUGUAUUGACUGUAGACUAAAACAGAUUCACUACUUUAUGAUACUGAUUUGGCCUACCGGAUAACAAAAGUUGUCGGCCAUACGUUAAAGCUAAAUUGAAAAGUAUAAUAUUAAAUAAAUUGUCAGGAGAUGAUUUUAUCUGAAAUCUCACUUGCACGGUCCCGAUCGCAUACAAAUUUGUGAUGAAAUUCAUAAUGAAUUUAUAUAUCAGGGCGAAAUUGCUUUAUAUAGUUUCAUCAACAUAUGUUAUAUCAUAAAAAAUAUACUGAUGUUUAUAAUAAAAAACUAAUGACUAUAUUAUAUCGAAUUUAUUAAAUAUGAAUUCAGAAGAUUCAUCGAUAGAUUGCUAUAAGUUUUAUGUUGUAGCUUACAAAUAUUUUGUUACUAAUUAGAAAAGUAAGAAAUUUUACGAAUGCUGAUGAAAAGUAGUCUGCACAAUUAUUAUGAAUCAGAGAAACAGGGGAGAUCUAGACAAUUAUUGACGUGGUGGUGCAGAAAGCUAGCCCCAGACGAUGACUCCUUUGGGGGCUCCUUUGAUUUCCAGCACAAAAGCAUUCUCAUUGACAUUGACUCAAGGGUAAAAAUUAAAUGUUUCACGUAGUAUAAGAAGAAUUAAAAAAUGCUUGAAUGAGCAUUCUUACAGAAUUCAUAAAAGCUACUUUCUUUUGAGCAUUUUCGCAACAAAAGCAAUUGUAACAUUUAGCAUUUAAUCUAAUAUUAGAAUGGCCGAUGCGAUCGUUUCCCAUAUCUUGAAGAAACUGAAUUCGUCUACCUCAUAUUGCAAUAAGAUAGAAAAAGUGACAUGGACAAAACCAGUGUUCAUACUUUAAAGAUGCGACAAAUUUGAGAAUAUUUAUAAUUAUGUACGACAGCUAGUGGAGUAGAAUCAGGGAAAUUAAAAGAUGCUACUACAAUUACUAACGUAUGGGUUGGGGAUAAGCAUAAAUUUUUCAUCUGGUGCCAAAUUCCUCCAAAUAAAGAGGGGGGACCCCUUUGCAUAAAUGUUGAUUAAAUAUUGGCUAAUAUCUUAUUAGAAAUUAAGAUAUGUUUAUAUAUAUAUAUAUAUAGUCGUUAUCUCUCCAUAGAUUUCCACAUGAAACAACAUGUAAGCAUAGUGUUUUAGGCCAUCGUCGAUAGUUUUUCAGCGGUGAAAGUUAUUUUCUUAGACUGUGACAUGUCAAAUUCGGACUCUAUUUUGCGUGGAUGUAUGCGGGAGAGAAUUUAUAUAUGAGUGAUGAUACAGUCAUAAACUGCUGUACAAACUGAUAUUAUACAAACUGAUGUGGCAUUAAUUCAUUAGUUGAUGGGUGUCGAAGCCAACAAAAAUAAAUUCCUACUCUAAAUAAAUUGUGUAUAGUGAUUGAGCAGGUUCGUGUCCACAGAGAUCGGUAAUUAUUUAAAUCCUUUUGAAACGUAAAACGUAAAAUGGGGGAAUUGUUGACAAUAAUAAAAAUCAAAUUAAAAAUAACAAGAAUGCAAAUUAAAGUUGUAAUUCAAAUUGGAGAAAGCUCUGGUUGAAGGAAUUAACUCAGCUUGAUUCGACUACUAAUCAUUGAUUCAAAUAUAGAUUAUUAUUACUCAUGAAUAGACCGGUUAUAGCUACUGAGACCCUCUAAUAGCCAAUCUCUCCUUAACUAGUCGAUAACCAAGGUACGACCGUUGGUUAUUUCCCUAAUCAAUAGACAACCCUAGAUACGAUCAUAGAAUUUAAUCAAUUGACAGCCUGAAAAACCAGAGAGACCCAAAUCCUAAUCAACACAUAUGAUGAUUCAUUUAAAUUAGAUUGUUUAUUCUCACAACACAACUCUCUGCUAUGUUAUUUGUCACAAACAUUAAAUUCUUCAUACGAUGAAUCCUUUAAUUGACAAUAGAUUAAGUUGAUAAUAAAAUAGUGGCCAAUUACCUAAUUAACAAACAUAAUCAUGAAAAUAAUUCAGAGAAUAAACAAAUACCCAAAAAGUAAUAAAACAAUUAAAGCACAAGAAAGAUCUCACAGUAGUGAUGAAUCAAAGCUUCAUUAACCUUCAACCAGAAAAAUGGGUUUAGUUCCUCAUAGAGAGAAGAGAAAAAUUAGAUCUAGGGUUUCUUUUUCUCCAAUCCAAAAAUCCCCCUUUUUCACAAUUGAUUCCUCCCUUAAAUACUCUCUCUCUCUUCUCUUUUAGAGUUCUAUUUAAAAUAAAAUACUAAUAUCUAAAAUAUUAAAUUCGUAAUUACAAAAAUAGCCAAAAAUAUAAAACACGUUAAACUAAAAACUGCAGGUCCGCAAUUGACAGCAUGCGCCCACGCCUUAUCAACAAAGUUCUUCUGCCGCUCAUAAUUUCUCCAAGGGAACAAUCAUCCCUAAACAUCAUCUUGUAGCUCAAUUUUAUCACCAAUCAAUAGAAUUGCACCUACAAAAGUAAAUCACAGGUAAAUCACUAUUAUUAAAUGCAAAACAUCGAUAUUAAGGGAAGUAAACAAUGCAAAACUAGUGCAUAAAUUGCACUCUAACAUUAGUUGAAUGAAAAUAUAAAAUAAUAUAAAUAAAUCAUGUGGGCCAAGAAAUAUUUAAUUCAACCAAUAAAUUAACACUACAUCAGUUUGUACAAGAGUUUAUGACUAUAUCAUUACUCUUUAUAUAUAUAUAUAAAUUUGUUAAUUCAAAAUUUUAAAGUACAGAAAAGUUUGGGAAAACUUUAAAAUCGUGAGGUUUUAAAAUUUUCUUAGACCUUUCCUGCAUAUAUAUGUAACCUCUUUCUUUUUUCUUUUUUUUAAUGCAGACACUCUGUUAAAUCAUACGACUUAAUAGAGUUAAUUUUCAAUAUACUAUAAAGUCGCGUGGUUUAAUAUCAUUAAAAAAUUAACUCUAUUAAGCCAUGUGGCUUAAAAGUGUGUUCCUAUAAAAAAAAAAAUGACGGCGCCCGCACUCGAGAAGGAAUGUGUGUGCGCGCGUGUGUGUAUAUAUAUAUGGGAUGUAUACUUGAGAUUAACUAGUGAUGAAACUGGGAAUUUUUUUCUCAACCUAAGCCAAAAAUAUUUCAAUAAAUAUUGAUCAUGGAGACUAAUAAGAUUUUUUAAGUUAUACAUAAUAAUGUUUUAGGGACUAAUAUGAGUAUUACUAAUUUUAUUGAGAUUAUUAAAAAAACAAUGUGCUAAUUUACCAAUAUGAUUUUUCCAAUCUUUUUUCUUUUCGUUAUUUAUUCCUUUGUGAAUUUGAGUAUUACUAAUAACAUUAAUGCUUGAUAUUAUUUUGUGCUUAUUUUUUAAAUUAGUAAUUAAAUCUGAACCCUUAUAGUAGAAGANNNNNNNNNNNNNNNNNNNNNNNNNNNNNNNNNNNNNNNNNNNNNNNNNNNNNNNNNNNNNNNNNNNNNNNNNNNNNNNNNNNNNNNNNNNNNNNNNNNNNNNNNNNNNNNNNNNNNNNNNNNNNNNNNNNNNNNNNNNNNNNNNNNNNNNNNNNNNNNNNNNNNNNNNNNNNNNNNNNNNNNNNNNNNNNNNNNNNNNNNNNNNNNNNNNNNNNNNNNNNNNNNNNNNNNNNNNNNNNNNNNNNNNNNNNNNNNNNNNNNNNNNNNNNNNNNNNNNNNNNNNNNNNNNNNNNNNNNNNNNNNNNNNNNNNNNNNNNNNNNNNNNNNCGGCUGAUGAAGUGAAACAACAGGUGAGGCUUGUGACUGGUGUCCGAGAAGAAGUGAAAAGCUUACCAGCAAUCUUCAAGCCAUUCAACUUGUGCUGCCAUUAUGCAGAGAAAAGGCAAAUGCAGCACGACAAAGCUGUUACUUUUUGGCUGGAUCAGCUCAAAGACGCAUCUUACGACAUGGAAGAUGUGUUGGAGGAGUGGACCACUGCAAGGCUCAAAUUGCAGAUUGAGGGCCUUGACGAUGACAAUACUCUUGCUCUUGCUGCUCAUAAGAAGAAGGUAUGUUCCUUCUUUCCUUCUACCUCAAACUGCUUCGGUAGUUUCAAACAACUCAGUCUUCGUCAUGACAUUGCUGUCAAGAUUAGAGAAAUCAAUAAAACGCUGGAUGAUAUUACCUCUCAAAAAGAUAGGUUUAAAUUUGCUGAGAAUGUGAGUAACAAUGUCAAGAAGCCAGAGCGAGUGCGAACCAUCUCCUUGGUUGAUGAGGGGGAGAUUUGUGGUAGAAUUGACGAGAAAAAUGAGCUGUUAAGCAAGUUGUUGGGUGAGAGUAGCGAACAACAAAAAGGGCUUCGUAUCAUCUCACUGUUUGGGUUAGGGGGUAUAGGUAAAACAACCCUUGCGCAACUAGCCUUCAACAAUGAGGGGGUGAAAAGAAAGUUUGACAUAGUUAUAUGGGUGUGUGUAUCAGACGCUUUUGAGGAGAUUAGGAUUGCUAAAGCAAUUCUUGAGGUUUUAGACAAAUCUCCUUCUAGUUUAGGCGAAUUCCAAUCUCUUAUGCAACAGAUUCAGGAAUCUAUUAGGGGGAAGAAAUUUUUUCUUGUUUUGGAUGAUGUGUGGGAUGGAGAUUUCAAAAAAUGGGACCCGUUCUUUUCUUGUCUAAAGAAUGGCCACCAUGAAAGUAAAAUUCUAAUUACCACACGUGAUAGGUCAGUUGCACUCCAGAUGGGAUCAAUAGAUAUUAUCUCUGUCAAGGAGUUGGGUGAAGGGGAAUGUUGGUCAUUGUUUAAGCAGGUAGCAUUUCUAGGUAGGUCCUUUGAGGAUUGUGAAAAAUUAGAACCAAUCGGACGAAAAAUUGCAUGUAAGUGCAAAGGCUUGCCUCUUGCUGCAAAGGUAAUUGGGAAUCUGUUGCGCUCUAAAAGAACAGUAAGCGAGUGGCAAAGAAUUUUAGAUAGUGAAAUGUGGAAGGUGGAAGAGAUUGGGAAAGGUCUUUUGCCUCCUUUGUUAUUGAGCUAUAACGAUUUGCCCUCCAGUUCUAUGGUAAAACGAUGUUUCUCAUAUUGUUCUGUCUUUCCAAAAGACUACAAUAUAAGGAAAGAGGAACUAAUUACACUAUGGAUGGCUCAAUGUUACCUUAAUUCAGAAGAAGAUGAAGAGAUGGAGAUUAUUGGAGAAGAGUAUUUCAACAUCUUAGCAACACGCUCUUUCUUUCAAGAGUUUGUGAAAGAUUAUGAUGAUAAUGUUAUGAGUUGCAAGAUGCAUGACAUAGUACAUGAUUUUGCCCAACUUGUAAGUAGAGAAGAAUGUUUGUGGGUAGAAAUUAACAGUAGGAAAGAAUCAGUCAUAAACUCUUUUGGUGAGAAAGUCCGUCACUUAGGGUUAAACUCUGAGGGAGGAGCUUCAUUUCCUAUGUCCACUCCUGAAUUUAAUAGAUUGCGUACCCUCUUAAUUUAUGAUUUAAGUCCUUACAGUCCGUCUCUUAAUGGCAGCAUCCUUGUGGAGUUAUUUAGUAAAGUGGCAUGUUUAAGGGCACUAGUUAUAAGGCAAUGGUUCGUACCCUUAGAUGACCAAAAUUUCAUUAGAGAAAUUCCAGAAAAUAUUGGAAAAUUGAUACAUUUAAAAUAUCUUAAUUUAUCUGAAUUAUGUAUAGAGAGACUGCCUGAGACUUUGUGUGAAUUAUAUAAUUUACAAAAGCUAGCUGUUAGAUGGUGUACAAAUCUUAGAGAAUUGCCUGCGGGGAUUGGAAAGUUAAUGAACAUGAGGAGUUUAAUGAAUGGUCAAACUGAAAAGCUGAAGUACCUGCCAAUAGGGAUUUCCAGAUUGACCAGCCUUCGAACAUUAGAAAAGUUUGUUGUGGGUGGAGGUGUUGAUGGUGGCAGCACGUGUAGGCUUGAAUCUCUGAAAAAUCUUCAACUCCUUCGUGAAUGUAGAGUAGAAGGGCUGAGUAAUGUAUCGCAUGUAGAUGAGGCUGAGAGGUUACAACUUUACAAUAAGAAAAACCUCCUUCUUUUGCAUCUUGAGUUUGGUAGAGUCGUAUAUGGGGAAGGCGAAGAAGGGAGGAGGAAGAAUGAGAAAGAUAAACAACUUCUUGAAGCCUUACAACCGCCUUUGAAUGUAGAGGAAUUAUGGAUUUUAUUCUACGGAGGCAACAUUUUUCCCAAAUGGUUGACUUUGCUAACCAAUCUAAGGGAACUAAAACUCUUCUCGUGCGUUAACUGUGAGCAUUUGCCUCCACUGGGAAAAUUGCUUCUGGAAAAACUCACCCUAUACAAUUUGAUUAGUGUAAAAAGAGUGGGUGAUGAGUUUUUGGGAAUAGAAGAGAGUAGUGUUGAUGACACAUCUUCAUCUUCAUCAGUUAUUGCCUUCCCCAAAUUGAAAUCACUCAAAAUUGAGGACUUGGAUGAAUUGGAAGAGUGGAAUUACAGGGUUACGAGGAAGGAAAACAUCUCCAUCAUGCCGCGUCUUUCUUCCUUGGAAAUUGAUUGCUGCCCCAAAUUAAAUGUGCUGCCAGAUCACCUUCUUCAAACGACGACACUGCAGGAAUUGAGUAUUAGGGGGUGUCCUAUUCUAGAAGAACGUUACAGAGGAGAAGACUAUCAUAUGAUAUCGCACAUUCCCCACACCAAGUUGUAAAUUCUCGAACGGUUGCAAUUACCAUCCCCCGCCGGUAAUUUCUGCUCCUCCCCUGUUUUACUUUGUUGUUACUUGUAAUGAAAUUAAUAAUAAUAAUGAUAAUCAUUAUAUUUUGAAUUAGAUUUCUAUAUUUUGCCCAUGUCUCACAGGAAUAUGCAAUAUUUUCUGGGAACUUUUCCCGAGACACAAUUUCUUUGAUGCUUUGUAGCAGUGUUUGAAAACUAAAGUAUCAGUUUUACCUUUUCUAAUGAAAAUCCUAUUUUUGAUAUAUAUAAUUUGUGUGACACUAAUUCUUGAGAUUUGUGAGAUGGGUAGAGUAAUUGUGUAACUGUUUUACUACAUUAGCCCAUUUUGUUUUGAGGAAAUGUCAGAACUACAUUAGCAAUUCACAUGUCCGUACUAAUUUGGUUUUACUGAUGCAGGCAGCAGAGCAAGUCUAUGAAAAUGACAAGUACUGUGAAAGGAUUGCCAAAAUGUCCUGCUGGUAAUUCACUUGCUUUAUUUUAUAGAAUUUUAUUUCCAUCUUCUAUUGAUAUCUGUGUUGCGUAUAAACAACAACAGAGAAGUAAAUAAUUGAGUACUGCGUUGCACUAGAUUCCCUACUAGUACUGCGUUGCAUUUUUAUCUUAUCUAAUUUAUAGAAUUUUCAUUUCCACCUGCAUUGCAUUUUUAUUUUAUUUUUAGGUUGACUUUUGAAGACUCUAUGGAGAAAAUUGGGGUAACCAAGGAUUAUCACUGUGGUUAUUGUGCAACGUUUGGUUUCUGGACUUUGAAGAAGUGAUGGCCGGGUCUGCUCUGUUUCAAUUGUUGAUGGAUAGCCGCCUGAAAGAUAUGAUGAUUAUUAUUGGUUGUAAUAACAAUUUGAGGUGCUCAAAAGCUACAAAGCAAAGCACAUGUAGGCUGAUCAUAUGCUUCCAUGAAGGAAUUCGGUGUUGACACUAUUAUGCAGGUAACCACAGUUUAUAAUUUGCACAGAUCUGCAUUGUCAGAAUAACCUUUAAUAUUCAUUGUGUUAUCUUGAUAUGUAGGGUAUCGUCUUCAAGGAUUUGUAAGAGCGUUUGCAGUAAAGUUACCAGUUCGUGCAAUUGCACUUUCAUUCGGAGUACAAUUUUGGAUUUUCAAGGUUUGUAUGUUUGGUUGCGAUUAAAAUGUUUAGUCACUCAUUCCUAAUCUUUUCUGAUUUUCAAGUUAUUUAAUAUUUGUCCAUAAGCAGUUUUCCAACUCAGUGAGAAUAUCUUUUUUUUUUUCUCCACACAUGUUUCAAUGCUUGUACCUGUUUUGGCCGAUUUUUCUAACUGGUAGAAAUUCAUUUCCAAUGUUUCCUUUUGGUUUGAGCACAGACAGAAAUAAACAGAGCUCUGGUCACAGACAGAAUAUCAUCUUCUUUGGUAUUUUGUCUCUUAGGUCUAAUCUUUAGUAAAGUUAUUUUUGUUUCUGUAAGUUAUCAGGUUAAGGAUACCAAGCAGCUUAUUAAUGCAAAUGUCAGAAUGAAGAUUGCUCACCGCACCCGGUAUGUAUGAUGGCGAGGAAGAUUAAUUGUUCACAAGCCAAUUUGAUGAGUGUUAGAUUUUUGGCUUUAUAUAUUAUUAGAGCUCUUCCUUUUGAGAGAUGUCUGAUCAAAUUUGAGUAGAGAAUCUUCGAUGAGAAUUCUGUUGUAAGAGUUUCACGGUAGUGAAUCUUGAGAGCUUGUAGUCUCUUGAGAGAGAGAAUCGUUAUCCUUUCAAUAUUGGUAAGCUCUCAUUUGUUUGUAAAAGCAUCUUUAUAUAUCGACUGUGUUUCCUUGUGCUAUCAGGUAGAGUAUCAUCUUCAAGGGUUUGAAAAAGUCUCUGUAGUAAAGUUCCAACCACGUGCAAUUCCUAUGGACAGGCAUAUUCAUUUGAGUAAUUCAGUUUCAGAUUUUCAAGGCAUGUAUGCUUAAUUAGUUUUGAUUAAAAUAUUUAGUCAAUCAUUCUGAAUCUUUCUGAUUUUCAAGUUCCCUAGGGCCACAACCAGUUUUUCAAGUCUGCGAAUGGCUGCAAAAAGAUUGAUGGUCAUAAAAUUAUCUUGAGCCUUGAGGCAUUGCGUUUGAGCGCACACAGAAACAGAGUAAGGGAAAAAAACUUGACAGUAGAAGGUGCUCUAAAUAUAGCAAAAGUAUAUUUCUACUUCUUGUGGCUAUUUUACUUUUGUUUCUUUUGACAUCAUAUUUGAUUAAUUCGUUCGAAUUCGCACUCUCACUCAUUAUUUAAAACCAUUUUCAGGUGGCUUGCAAGCUAAUUAAGUUAAUGCAAAAACAAUACUCUAUACAAAGAGGAGCAAAUUGAAGGUGAUAAAUGCGUGUAUAGUUGCCAAGUCGCUUAUUUUACUUCUUUCCUUAUACUAAGAUGACUCUGGAUUUGAAUUUCCAUAACUAAUUGUUGGGCUGGUGCAGAUUUUCUUAAAAGGGCCUUUAAGCUACCUUAUGAAAUUGUAAAGUUAUUAUUGCUUAAAGCAAGCACCAUCUUCUGUUGCAAAGGCUUUCCCCACAUGAUGAGAUGCAGUGAUUGUUACCAGCCCCGUGUUUGUUAACUCAGGUCGGUAUUAUCAACUAAGUCCUCUUCUUCACCAUUUUGGUAUAUAUAAAGAUUAAAAUUUAGAACGCUUGUUUCGGUUUCUUGUGUAAUCAGGCUAAUAGAGCAAAUAUCAGAAUGAAGAUUGUUUAGUGCAACUGGUAUGGCAAGGAUGAUGAUGGUGAGGAAGAUUUUUCACAGGACAAAUAGAGCCCUCCAUUUUGUGAAAUGUCAUCCUCAAAUUUCAUUUGUUGAUUAUAUGAAGCGAAGCUAAUGCCUUAAUAAUAAGACUUUCCUGUGAAAGUUUCAUUUGAGUGAAUUUUGGGAGAUUGAAUGUUCUUAGAUUGAGUGAGAAAUUAAGCACAUAUCAACGAUUUAGGUCGUCGGUGAAUGUUUUUCUUUAAUAUUCGUAUACUCUCAUUUCGUAGUAAAAAUCUCUUGACAGCUAUUGGCUGUGAUGUAGGCUAAUAGCCAAACCAUGAAGAAUUAUAUUGUUAUUUCUUUAUGCCUGUUUUAUAUAUAUCAUUUCUGUACUAUCAAGAAUGUAAUUUUGCAAUUAUUUAACUCUGCUGCCGCUAACAAACAGUAUUACAGGUGACAUCUUGCAGAUUUUUUUCGCCCUUUUUCUUUCUCCAUUAAAAUUGCUAGAAAAGGAAGUGAUCGGCUUGAUUUUAGCUCCUGCAAAAUGUGCUGGAGGCAAUGUCUUUUGUAUCAGCAAGUUAUCAAACAUUGUAGUCUAAAUAAAGAAUCCUGAAUUGCUUCCCAAAAUUUCAGGGUUUUCAUCUCUCAGUUUCUUAAAAGCUACAAAAGCAAACCCUAUGUGGGCUGAUAUGCUUCCACUGAUCAGGAAAGAAUUUGGUAUUGACACUAUAUAUUAUGCAGGUAACAGCAGUUGACAAUUACUUCCAACUUAAUUACUUUCCAACAAAUAUAUAUUAUCCAACAAAUUUACCCAAAUUUGUCAUAGUUGACAAUUCGCUUACAAUGUUUCCUUGUGUUAUCAUGUGUGAAUUGAAAGAUUGAGAAAGGCUGAUUUUAACAAACUUAUGCAAUUGAAGAGUUUGAAAAAGCAUUUGCUCUAAAGUUUCCAGCUUGUUUAAUUGCUGUGAAGAGGCGCAUUCAUUCUGAGUACAUAAGUUUUAGAUUUCCACGGUGUGUAAGUUUAGUUGCCACCGAAAUGUUUUGUUUCUUAUUCUUAAAAUCCUUUCUAAGUUCCCAGUUUUUUUGGGCUAACACUAACAGUUUUACGAGUGUGCAAGUGGUUGCUAAAGAUUGAUGGUUAUAAAAAUUAUCUUGAGGUCUGAAAUCUUAAUUUUCUGUAAGUAUCUGUAUUUGAGUACAAAUGUUUUAGACAAGAUUGAUGCAUUACAUAGUGCAUGAUUUUGCCCAAUUUCUAAGCAGAAAAGAAUGUGUUUCGAUAGGAAUUUAUCAUGGUAGUGAGGAAUCGGUCAUAAACUCUUUUGAUGAGAAGGACCAUCACUUAAUGUUAACUCUUUAGGAGACUGUUCAUUUCCUAACUCCAUUCAUAGACUUAGUAGAUUGCGUGCCCUCUUAAUUUACGAUGUUAGCAAUUUGUCUCUUGAUAGUAGCAUCCGUCUAGAGUUAUUUAGCAAAUUGGCAUGUUUUAGGGCAUUAGAUAUGAGACGAUUAAGUUUUGGUGAGAUAAAUUUGAUUGAAGAAAUUGCAGAAAAUGUAGGAAAAUUAAUACACUUAAAACACCUUAAUUUGUCUGAUCUAGAUAUAAAGGAACUACCUGAGACUUCGUGCGGGUUAUACAAUUUACAUAAGCUAGAUAUUAGAGGGUGCCGGUAUCUUUGAGAAUUACGUCCAGGAAUUGGGAAGUUAAUGAAAAUGAGGAGUUAGUGAGUGGCGAAACUGAUUCAUUGAAGUGCAUGCCAAUAGGGAUCUUAAGAUUAACCAAUCUUCUAAGAUUGGAUAAGUUUAUUGUGGGUGGAGGUGUUGAACAUGGCAAACCAAGUUGUCUUGGAUCUAUGAAAAUUGAAAAACCUUCAACUCCUUCGAGACUGUGGAAUAGAAGGGCUGGGUAAUGCGUCAUUUUUUGGUGAUGCUAUGAGACUAGAAUUCGGUAAAAUGAAAAGUCUUCUGCUUUCGAAACUGUCUUUUGAUGGGGAAGAUCGAAAAGUAAAUGCUGAGGAUGAACAACUACUUGAAGCCUUACAUCCGCCUCCGAGUUUGGAGGAAUUAGGGAUUCUGUAUUACAGAGGCAGCAUUUUCCCCAACUCGUUGAUUUCACUAACAAAUUUAAGGGCUCUAAAAAUCCGCUGGUGCAAAAACUGUGAGCAUUUGCCUCCUUUGGGAAAGUUACCAUCUCUGGAAAAACUCACCAUAAGUGAUUUGAGGAGGGUAAAAACUGUGGGUAAUGAAUUCUUGGGAAUAGAAGUACUGAUUAUGACCCGUAUCCAUCUUCAUCUUCAUCUUCAUCGGUGACUGCCUUCCCGAAAUUGAAAUCACUCUUCAUUUGGAAAAUGUCUGAACUGGUAGGGUGGGAUUAUAGGAUUACUAGAAAGGAAAACAUCUUCAUCAUGCCACGUCUUUCUUUCAUGGAUAUCGGGAAUUGUCCUAAUACGAAAAAACUGCUCAAUUUCAGAGAUUAAAGAUUCGGAAUUUUCCUCUUCUACGAGAACGUCACGGAGAAGGAGAAGACUGGCGUAAGAUAUCUCAUAUUCCCCACUUAAGAGGUAUAUGAUGGAGGUCCAUAACUAAAUUCUCAAACGGCGGUAAUUACUACGCCUGCAGGUAAUUUCUUCCCUUCUAGUCACUUCGCUCUCUAUUUCUAUUUGGGAGAAUGCUUAGGAAAAGUUUUUUCCGACACUCAUGUAAUAAUGUUGAAAACAAAAAUUAUCAUUGCAGCAGUUUGGUAUUAAUUUUCAUUGAUCCACAAAUCUAAACUAUUUAUGUAUAAAUAAUGCAGGCAGCAGAGAAGUUCAAAUAACAGGAUCUGCUCUGUUUUUGGUUAAAUGCAUUCUCUAAGUUCAUGUGUUAACAGUAAAAGGAAUAGUGAUGGCCGAAUCUGCUCUUUUUAAAUUCAAGCAGUUGAUGCUUUCUGAAAAUUGUCAAGUUACGGAUGAAUUGCUUACUGAAUACAUGAUAUCUCAUGGUUGUUAAGUUAUAUUUCUGAAAACCCUCCUUUCUUCACGCAUGUUUCAAUGUUGGUUGUAAAAACGAUUUCAUCUCUCAGGUUAUCAUGUCCAAGGUUUUGAAAAAGCUUUUGCGGUAAAUUUCAAAUUAAACUUGUACAAUGGCUGUGAAGGGGCAUAUUCAAUUCGGUACGUCUCUUGGUGCCAUCCACUAAUGCUAGUACCGUGUUGUGUAUAUCUAGUUGCGAUUAAAAUAUUUAAUCUCCCCACCUUAAUCUUUUCUGGUAUUCGGCAGAAGAUUAACAGUGAAAAUUAUUCUUUAGGUAUACAGUCUUAAUUUACAAUAAAUUGUGUACAAAGUUCUCUAUUUGUUAUACGGGGACUGAAAUUUUACGUAUCAUACCAAUCUUCAAUUUUCGGUAAUUCUGGUUUAUUUGCUCAUACAGAGUGCUUGUCUCGGCUGAUUUGUCUUAUUCGUAGAAAUUCAUUUCCAUUGGUUCCAGCACAAACAAGACCAGAGAGCUCUGGGGAAAAGUAUUCUAUUUCUUCUGGUAUUAUGCCUUUGUUUCUUCUUUCAUAAUAUUUGUUCGACUUCAUACUCUCAUUCAGAGUAUGAAGCCUUUUCCAGGCAUCUUGUUGCCAAAUUUUGCUGCCAUCAAUAGAUUUUUCCAAUGAAUUGGAGAAGAUAAUGUUAAAAGGGCAUUUAGCUUCCCAUGUUUGAACAUGGAACUACAGAGAGUAAAAUUGAUCAAUUUACAAUGUUAAUUCGGCUGGGUGGCUACUUAUACUCAAGUCUGAUAUUCAGGCUUUGUUUCAUCAAAUGUCCAAUUUAUUGGUAUCCUUUUCACGUUUCUUCUUCCAUGUUGGUUAAUUUGUACGGUUGGUUUACUUAAAUUCUAGAGAAUUGCUUCAGUGAUGCAAGCAGAGUGAACAAGACAAUGUAUUCCUUUUGAUUACUUGAAUGAGUCCGAAAUACAGAGCUAUUGCAGUAUAUAUAGAGACAAAGAGAAUAAUGACAGCUAGCAAAAAUAUAUUACAUAGGAAAAAUGAAAACUAAUUUGUCAGAAUUAAAAUCAUGAGCCAAUCAUUUUAGACUUCUAGAAGGUUCAGCUGCUCCAUGCUUAUGUGCUGAUAUUCUUCACCAUAGCUGUUCUGCCAGCUCAAUAAAUCUGACUCAUCUUCCAUAUCAGCAGGCUGCAGAUUACAGAAGCUUAGGUGGCAUGCCAGCUUGGCUUCAAGGUCAAUUGUUGACUCCUCACAGCUGCUGUUUUCAACACCCUCUCUCAAACUCAAGGUCUUGUCAAUGACUUUGAGUUUGCUUCGAAAACGGCUAAACUUGUAGUGUGGUAGUGGCUUGGUCAACACAUCUGCAAUUUGAUCAUUGCUGCCAACAUAGUUUAUUUCCAAUUCACCCUUUGUAACUUUGUCUCUGAGGAAAUGAAGGUCUAUCUCAAAAUACUUUGUUCUAGAAUGAUACACUGGGUUUGCUGCUAUGGCUGCUGCACUGGUGCUGUCACUUAGGAUAAUUGGUACAUUCUCAACCUCCAUCUUCAGUUCACCAAGUAAAGAAUUUAUCCAUGUGAUUUCAGUGCUGCAUAGAGCCAUUGCUCUAUAUUCUGAUUCUGCCGUGGACCUUGCAACCAUGCCUUGUUUUCUCGAGCUCCAGGCAACUAGAUUAUCUCCCAAGUACACACAGUAUCCACUUAUGGAUCUUCUUUCAUCUAGAUCAGUUGCCCAGUCUGCAUCUGUGUAUGCAAUGAGAUCCAGAUGCUCAGAUUUUUUGAACCUUAGAUAUAAAUUCAUAGUGUUUUUGAGAUACCUCAGCACUCUUUUGCAUGCUACCCAAUGUGGCUGUCUGGGAUCAGACAUGAACUGACUAAGCUUAUUCACUGAGAAGGCAAGCUCUGGCCUAGUCAAUACUGCAUAUUGUAGGCUUCCUAUGACACUCCUAUAGAGUGUGGGAUCAUGGAAUCUAUUCCCAACAUCCUUCAGCAAUUUCUCAGAGGUGCUGAAGGGUGUCUCUAUUCCUUUACAUUCUGUCAUCUCUGUUUUGGCCAGCAGGUCUUGAACAUACUUUUCUUGAGAAAGUAGAAUAGAGUUUUGACUCCUGAUAACUUGUAUCCCAAGAAAGAAGUUUAACUUUCCGAGAUCCUUCAAAGUAAAGGAUGUAUCCAGAUCCUUAAUCACUUCCUCAAUGCCUUGGUUGUCACUUCCAGUGAUUAUGAUGUCAUCUACAUAUAUGAGCAUGAUAACUAUCUUUGAUUCAACCCUUCUGAAAAACAAAGAUGUGUCACUCCUGGAAUUUUUGAAUCCCCAAGAACUCAAAACACCUUUUAGUUUAUCAAACCAUGCUCUCGGAGCUUGCCUGAGUCCAUACAAAGCCUUUUUUAGUUUGCAGAUGUAGCUUGGCCUGUUCUUGUCUUCAAAACCUUCAGGCUGUGGCAUGUAUACUGUCUCUGUCAAGUCACCAUUCAAGAAGGCAUUGUUUAUGUCCACUUGCCUAAGCAACCAGUCAUUGUUUACAGCCAUGGUUAGGAUGAUUCUAAUAGUUGCAGCCUUAACAACAGGGCUGAAAGUUUCAUUGAAAUCAAGUCCUGGGGUCUGCAAGAAUCCCUUUGCAACCAAUCUGGCCUUAUACUUAUUAAUGCUGCCAUCUGAGUUUUCCUUCACUUUGUAGACCCACUUAUUUCCAAUCAGUUUUCAAUUUGGAUUGUUUGGUAUCAAGGUCCAGGUUUUACUCUUCAUCAAUGCAUGAUAUUCAUCCUCCAUUGCCUUUUUCCACUUGGGAUCCUUCAAAGCAUCUAAGGUGUUUUUGGGGAGUAGAGGUUGUGUUUUACUGGAAACUUGGUACAACUUUGGUUUGAAGAUGCCAGCCUUGGAUCUUGUCACCAUGGGGUGUGAAGACAAGGUGUUUUGUGUGGGAAGGUUUUGAUUGUUUGUUUCUGUGAUUUGAGGUGGACUGUGAGUUGAAGGGCUACCUGAUAUUGUGUCAGUAUCAUUUACCUGUUGCAUUUCAUUCUGAACUGGACUUGGGCUGCAUUCUGUGUUUCCAGUAGUGUCUAGAGAGUUGCCAUGAGCUGUUGUCACUUGUGUGAGGCUAUGGGGAUCAUUAACAGAAAAUGACACAACCUGAAAUUUCUCAAGUAAAGCAACUUCAUCACCCUCUUUUACUGACUCUUGUUUCCUAAAGCUAGAAUCUUUUUCGAAAGGAAAAGAGUUUUCAUUGAAUUUGACACUGGCUGAGAUAUAGAUUCUACCUGAAUUACUCAUACAAACAUAACCUUUGUGAACACUGCUAAUCCCCAAUAGGAUACAUUUGGAGGUGUGAAAAUCAAAUUUGUGUUUGUUGUAUGGUCUUAGAAAUGGAAAGCACUCACAGCCAAAAAUUUUAAUUUGUGUAUAAUCUGGUUUGCGAGAGUAUAAUAAUUCAAAUGGUGUCUUAUUCUCAAGCACAGGUGAGGUGAGUCUGUUAAUGAUGAAGGUAGCAUAGCUGAAAGCUUCUUGCCAAAAUUUUAAGGGCAUUUUGGCUUGAGCAAGUAGGGCAAGUCCAGUCUCCACAAUGUGUCUGUGUUUUCUCUCAACCUUGCCAUUUUGUUCAUGAAAGUAUGGACAUGAAUGUCUUAGAGCUAUUCCAUCUCUUUCAAAUAUGGUUCAAAGGCUUUGAAUUCUCCUCCCAUGUCUGUUUGUAGUGCUUUGAUUGUUAAGUUCAACUGUUUUUCAAUCUGAUUUUUAAAGGUAAUGAAGGUAUCAAGAGCUUGAGACUUGGCUGCUAAAGGAAAGAGCCAUGUGUAUCUUGUUCUGUCAUCAACAAAGGAAAUGUAAUAUCUGUGUCCAUGAGUGGAUAGAAUUGGUGCUGGUCCCCAAAGGUCUGUGUGAAUUAAUUCCAGGGCUGUCUUAGUUUUGGUUCCAGUGCUUUUGAAAGUUUGUUUUGAUUGCUUUCCAUAUUGACAUGCUGAGCAGAAUGAAGGAACAUCAUCUUUAUUAAUUUUGAGCUGAUUACAAGGUAGCAAGGUAUUUUUCAAGACUGAUGUACUAGGGUGUCCUAGUCUGGAAUGCCAUAGAUUCAUUUCUUCAGCAGCUUGCUGACUGUUACUACUUGACUCAUCAGCUACAUUUGACUUGUCACUGACUUUGACAGACUCAUUACUUAAAUUGAAGGACAACAUGGACAUAGGACAACUAAUGUUGUUUAUUGACUCUGACUUUGACGAAAUCGAAAAUAAAGCAGCAGAAGGAAUUUUGUUCCUGCUCAGGAUAGCAGGUAAGUGCAUCAGCUCAUAUAGCCCAUCUCUAGCCACUCAUUUCACCAGAAUUUUCCCUUAUCUCUUGUCCUUAAUAAAACAAACAAGUUUUUGAAACUCAACAUCAACAUCAUUGUCAUGCAGUAAUUUAGAAAUGCUAAUAAGGUUUUUGGUUAUGUCAGGCACAUAUAAUAUAUCAGUCAAGGUAAUGUGCUUGUGUGGAUCAUAAGUGGGCAAGGCAGAAUAACCAAUAUGAUUGAUCAAAAGCUUUUCACCAUUACCAACAGCUAGUUUAUUUUUACCUUGGUAUUCAGAGUUGAUGCUGAUAUUUCCAAGAGUGUUUGUCACAUGAUUGGUGGCACCACUGUCAAGGUACCAGGCUCAACUGCUUUGACCUUCAGCAGCAACAACAUAAGCACCCCUCUGCUCUCUUCUUCUGGUUGGUUGUGGUACAAAGUUUUUCUUGAAUCUGUGCCAACACUCAGCUGCUGUGUGCCCCAUUUUCCAGCAAAUUUGACAUGGCCCUUUUGAAUCAGAGCCAUUGUCAUCUGCCACUGCUUUUCCUUUCCCUUUGUCUUGAAAGUUCUGAUUAGUUUGGUUGUUGGUGGUGUUGUUUCCAGGGCUUCUAAAGACUAUUCCAGGCUGCUGGUGAUGAGCAGCUCUCUCACUGUUGUUCCAGCUCCUUCUUCCAUUCCUCAUUUGAGCAUAGUUUGCUUCAAUAUUCCCAGAGCUCAAGUUUUGCUCAGUUCUGUUUUCUUGACUCAAAAGCAUACCAUACACUUCUGAGAUUGAGGGGUUCUCCUGCAUUGAGUUGAUGUUAGUAACUACUGAGUCAUAUUCUGGCCCCAACCCAGCAAGCACACACAUGAUGAAAUCAUCAUCAUUCAUACUAUUCCCUGCAGCUCUAAGUGAGUUCAGUAAAGUUUUCAUUUUGGAGUAGUAUUCAUGAAUGGUUGAUGGACCCUUUUUAGUAGUUUGAAUUUGGGUUCUGAGAUAUAGUACUCUUGCCCUUGUUCUAGCACCAAAUUGGUUGGCUAGAGUUGUCCACACCUCACAGGAGGUGGAACAAUCUACCACUGUGGCAAGGACUCCUUCACUUAGUGAAGAGAGUAGCCAACUUAGUAGAAUAUGGUCCUGUUUCCUCCAAAUCUGGUAUUCAGGGUUAGGUGAGGUAAUGGUGGUUUGAUUUGGUCCAGGAUUCAUAAAAGCUUUAGGAGGGCAGACAUGGCUGCCAUCAACAAACCCCUCAAGCUCAUUUGCUCUAAUGCUGGAAAUCACUUGUGAUUUCUAGAGCAUAAAGUUGCUUUGAGUUAGUUUGAUUGGAUUAGUAAAGACAUAGGUGUUGCUAGUGAUGUGCUGGGUGGGUGAUGCACUUAUUUGUGCUGUGUUUCUGGUAUUAAGGCCUGGACUUGGUGGCUCAGUGUUUUGGUUUUGAUUUUGAUUCAAUUCGUCUGGUUGAUCACUUGAAUCAACUUGUGUUGGAUUAACAUUUGUUUCAUUGUCACUGCUGCUUGCCAUAGCUAAAAGAAUGGCUCUAAUACCAACUUAAAUUCUAGAGAAUUGCUUCAGUGAUGCCAGCAGAGUGAACAAGACAAUGUAUUCCUUUUGAUUACUUGAAUGAGUCCGAAAUACAGAGCUAUUGCAGUAUAUAUAGAGACAAAGAGAAUAAUGACAGCUAGCAAAAAUAUAUUACAUAGGAAAAAUGAAAGCUAAUUUGUCAGAAUUAAAAUCAUGAGCCAAUCAUUUUAGACUUCUAGAAGGUUCAGCUGCUCCAUGCUUAUGUGCUGAUAUUCUUCACCAUAGCUGUUCUGCCAGCUCAAUAAAUCUGACUCAUCUUCCAUAUCAGCAGGCUGCAGAUUACAGAAGCUUAGGUGGCAUGCCAGCUUGGCUUCAAGGUCAAUUGUUGACUCCUCACAGCUGCUGUUUUCAACAGGUUUCAGUUCGGAUCUCUGCCUGUUUAUUAUUCCAGCUUUUCUUCCGAACCUUUUUCCAUCAUUCGCUAGCUUUUUGGCAAUGCUAAAUGCAUUUUGGAAAAUUUUGGACUGUCUCGAAGGAAAGCGGACAAUGUGACAAACAUCUAAUGCCAUUUACGGCUUUACAUUUUUUGGAAUAAAUCUUUUGAGAUUCCAGGCCUAAUUCUUUGGUCUCAAAACUGGUACUAAUCUUAGAUUUGCUUGCAUCAUCUUCGGGAAAAAAGAUGUCUGUAAGAGUAAAUUUACUUCUCAUUGGAACCCUUAACCCAGCCGGACCGAGGCUCUGUUGGUAUAAGCUUUUUGGUCACUUUGCUGCCAAAAGAUAAGUGUUUUGGUAAAUAAUUGCAACUUGGUUUUGGCAAGGUAACUGAUUAACGGCCGCCACUAUUUACUAAAGCAUAAGUUCUAAAUAAGAUACCAAACAGUAACACUCGUCAACUUUCCCUUGACAGUUAGAACUUUUGUUUUACAACAAUAAUGACUUAAAAAUGAUUUCAUAUUUGGUAAUCCAGAGUAGCAAGUACUGAGACGCUGUUUAUUGAACUUUCGAGGCAUUUCAGAGUAGCCGGCACCCAUGUUUGGCAAUUUUCGAAGUUACAACGUGGUGCUGUCUAUAAUGCACCACAAUGCAAAUUUUGGCGCGUUGCUCAAACCCGAGAAGGACCUUGAGUUUUGCUAUAUGUACGAGCAAAAGCUAUUGAUAAUUAACAUAAAAAUGAAUUUAUAAUUGGGAAAUUAUCAGUCAUAUACCCUUAAAUGACACCAGUAUCAAACGUACUACAACACUUUUCGCUUAUAUCACUCGUAUACCCUAAGUUGACAAAAGAGUUCUGGCGUCCACCUUUCCGUUUAGUACCGUUAAGAACUUAACAGAAUUUGAGCAAAAUGACUAUUUUACCCUUUAAACUCAAAAUGAGGUAAAAAAAUAAAUUUACCUUGAAAAUUAAUGUAAAUUUUCAAUACACAAUUUUUUUUAUUAAAAAAAUAUGAAUUAUUAAUGGUAUAUAUUAUUAACAAUUAUCCACAAAAAAUAUUCAUCUUAUACCAUAAAAAAUUAUUAACAACAUAUUAUUUACAAUUAUACAUAUUAUACCAUAAAAAAUUCAAGUUUGAGCUUGGAGGAGUAAAUCUUCAAUAAUUUAGGUUAAAUUUUGGAGGAGUAGAUUCGGUUGUAAAGUAACUUUUUUUUAUAGCAAUUAUUAACAAUUAUCUGAUAAAUGAGAUGACAUGUCAUUUUUAUCAAAAUAUAUCAUAUGACAUGUCGUUUUUUACUAGGUAAAUGGGAUGACAUGUCAUUUUUUUAAAAAGACUAGAUUACCCUUAUUAUGUCAGCGCUCGCAAACGGCAGUUAACGGAUUGGUGGACGGCAGAAGUGUUUUGUCAACUUAGGGUAUAUGAGUGAUACACUUGAAAAGUGUUGUAGCACGUUUGAUACUGGUGUCAUUUAAGGGUAUAUGGCUGAUAAUUUCCCUUUAUAAUUUAAUAAAAUUAUAUUAUAUUAUAAUAAAGUGUAUUAUGUUCAGCUUUUUUAUUUUAUCUUUUUAUAUUAUAAUAAUUAAUAUAUAACAGUAAACUUAUAUUAUACAAUUUUUAUUACAUUUUUAAUUAUUUGUAAUUUUAUUAUAUUAUUUAACAAUACUGCAGUAUAUUGACAUAAAAUAGUUAUUUAAUAUUAUUAAAAAUAGAAUAAUAACAAAUUUAUAUUUCGGAAUUCAAAGUAGACGUUUGUAGAACCGAGCACCAACUAAAAGAAAGAAAAGAAAAUAUUAAAAUAUUUAUAAUAAAAUUGAAAAUAAUUAAAAAUAUAUAUUAUGAAUUUACAUUUAUUCAUUAAUUAUUAUUUUAAAGAUUAAUUGUCAAUGAUAACAGCUCUAAAUCACUGUCACGGCCAUCGACUGCUAGAUUUAGAUGUCUAUUUGAGUUUAUUUUUAGUACUAUUGGAAUCCUUGCUGCUUAAGCAUUGCAUCAGUAUAUGUUUCAUUGGAAACCAAGGUCCCUUUCGCCAUAGAUCUACAAUGACUGGAAGAUCUGUUUCUAUUGAAACAUGUACCUUUGUAAUCCUCCACUGAUGACGAUUUCAACAAUACUAAAAAUCAUAUCAAACAAAACUAAAACGUUGUAUCGGUGGUGGUUCGUAUGGUUGAUGUGUGUCGAUGAUUUAUUUUAUUUUUAUUUUGCAAAUAAAAAAAUAAAUUUAAUAUAAUAACAAUAUAAAAUAUUAAUAAAUAUACAUAAUAAUAAUUUUAUAUAAGUAAUGGCAUAAAAUAUUAUUUUAGAUAAUACAAUACAUUGUAACACCAGAUGUUGUACAACAUUAAUAUAUUACACAUUUAAUACAAUGCAACAUAAUACACUGUACCAUCAUUAAAUAAUCAAAUACGUCAUAAUAAAAUUUGGCAACUUGCAUUACACUGAAUUGCACUACCUUAAAACAUUGUUCUUAUGCUAACCCUCCUUUGGCUAUAAUUUCUGGUUAAAAGAUGGCUAACACAGUGAAAGGUAUAUAAAAAAAAACUAAGGGGAGAUAGGGCUUAGUGUCACGGGAUGAGUGUUUUGCGCAGCUAACCCGUGCGGCACUUAGACAACUUUGCCGAAUGUUGCUAAGUAAGCCUAGAGCUUCUCGAACUAGAGAAGAGAGCAAUUGAGCCAAAGAAGAAACUUGUAUUGCACAAAGAGAGAAUACAAAGCUUGAGUUGUUUACAAUGUUUGUUGGAUACAAAUGCCUAAUGCCAUCCCAUAUUUAUAGGGGAGGCUUUGCCAAACUUGGCCUAACUUUGCCAAACUUUGCCAAACUCUAGAGUAUUCUACAAUUUCCUAGCUAUUUACAUGUGCUGGAAUUGUAUAAAGUAUUCUAGAAUAUUUACAUGUUCACAUGUGCUAGAGUUUCCUAGAACCUUCCGGAAUUGGGCCAAGCUAGCACUCUUGGCUUUGUGUUGGCUCUCUAGCCCGAAAUUGUGGGCAAUUGGGCUAGUGAAUUGGGCGGUCCGCAACAUCCUCCCCCACCUAAGCUCGCGGCGUCCUCGUCGCGCUUUCAUGCUUGAACCUUUGGAUGUGCUCAGCGAAUUGCCACAAAUCAUCUUCACGUUCCCAAGUGGCUUCGCUCUCGGGGAGGUUUUUCCACUUCACCAAGUACUCGCUAUGUGCUGGCACGCCCCUCCUUGAAACCGUGCGGUCCGCAAUGAUGUAGUCCACAUCUUUGUCGAAUGCGGUGACAACGGCAGUUGGCGAGCGUCUCGAUUCUCCGCGACUUGGUUCUCCCAUGUCUUCGUGAUAUGGCUUGAGAAGGCUCACAUGGAAGACCGGAUGGAUCUUGAGUCUUGGCGGAAGUUGGAGUUGAUACGAGACGUUGCCCACACGUCGAACAACUCGGAAGGGUCCCUCGUAGCGCCUCACUAACCCCUUGUGAACUUUCCGCAAAGUCUUGAAUUGUUGGGGUAGGAGCUUGAUCAUGACUUGAUCACCUUCCUUGUACUCAACAUGCCGUCUCCUUGUAUCCGCCCAUUUCUUCAUUUUCCUUGCGGCUUUGUCGAGGUAGGCUUGUGUGAUGUCCGCUUCCUCAUGCCAUUCGCGGGCGAGCUUGUGUGCCGCAGGACUUUUCCCUCCGUAAGUCGAGGCUAUGGCAUUGGGGGUCAUGGGCUGGAAUCCCAUGAUGAUCUCGAACGGACUCUUGCCCGUAGCCUCGCUUCACUGUAAGUUGUAAGAAAAUUAGGCGAUGUCGAGUAGCUUCGCCCAAUCCCGCUGGUGAGCGCUCACAUAAUGCCUCAGGUACAUCUCGAGGAGGCCAUUAAUGCGCUCGGUCUGCCCAUCCGUUUGUGGGUGGAAGCUCGUCGAGAACUUGAGAUCGGUCCCCAACAUCUUAAAGAGCUCCGUCCAAAACCGCCCAGUGAAUCGAGGGUCUCGGUCGCUCACAAUGCUCUUCGGAACUCCCCAAAGCUUCACAAUGUGUUUGACGAAUAGGCGGGUUGCCUCAUCCGCUUUGCAAUCGACAGGCGCGGCAAUGAAUGUGGCAUACUUACUGUAUCGGUCGACAACGACCAUGAUGCUCCCGCAACCUUCGAACUUGGGCAGCGAUGUGAUGAAGUCCAUGGAGACACUUUCCCAUGGCCUUGUUGCGAGUGGCAGCGGCUCCAACAAUCCCGCUGGAAGUUGAUGAUCCACCUUGUCUUGUUGGCACACAAGACAAGUUCGCACAUAUGCCUCGAUGUCGUCCCUCAUGUGUGGCCAAAAAUACGAGGCUUGGACUAGUGCGGUGGUGCGCUCGAUUCCUGGGUGACCAGCCCACUUGGAGUCGUGGCACUCCUUGAUAACUUCCUUCCGCAGAUUUCCCCACCUUGGCACGAACAGCCGAUCUCCCUUGGUGAGGAGGAUGCCUUCCUCUUGCCAAAAUCGCCUUGUCUUCCCUUCGAGCACCUUCUCCAGCAAAUCCUUUGCUAGCGGAUCUUGUUGGAGGCCUUCCUUGAUGCGUGAGACAAGGUCGGACUUCGGUUGGCUCAUGCUAAGCGUUGCCAAUUCCGCCUUGCGGCUUAGAGCGUCCGCAACGACAUUGGCUUUCCCCGGUUUGUACUCUAGCCGAUAGUCGAAUUCCUCUAGGAAAUCUUGCCACCGUGCUUGCUUCGGACUCAACUUCUUUUGAGUUUGGAAGUAGCUUGUCGCCACGUUGUCCGUCAUAAUUGUGAAGUGAGAGCCUAGCAAGUAAUGUCGCCACACCCGCAAGCAAUGUAUGAUGGCUGUCAUCUCCUUUUCUUGCACCAUGUAGCGGCGUUCCGUAUCAUUAAGCUUUCGACUCUCGAAUGCUAUGGGGUGGCCUUCUUGCAUGAGAACUACUCCUAUAGCGAAAUCCGAGGCAUCCGUUUGCACUUCGAAGGGCUUUGUGUGGUCCGGAAGGGCAAGGACUGGUUCCUCCGAAAUUGCCUUCUUCAACUCCUCGAAUGCGCGUUGGCAUUCUUCGGACCAAUGCCACAUUCUAUUUUUCUUGAGCAUAUCCGUCAAGGGUGCCGCCUUAGCUGAAUAGCCCUUGAUGAAGCGGCGGUAGUAAUUCACCAACCCAAGGAACGAGCGAAGCUCGGGCACUUUUGAGGGAGGCUUCCAAUCGAGGAUGGCCUUUACUUUGUCAUUCUCCAUCAUGAUCUUCCCGCCCGCAAUCUUGUGGCCAAGGAACUCCACCUCUUGUUGGGCAAACGAGCACUUCUCUAGUUUGAGGAAGAGCUCGUUGUCUCGAAGUACUUGGAGGACUUGUCGCAAAUGUCGGGCAUGAUCCUCGAGCGUGGUGCUAUACACCACUAUGUCAUCCAAGUACACGACCACGAAGCGGUCGAGGAAUGGUUGGAGCACCUUGUUCAUGAGCGUGCAAAAUGUGGCGGGUGCAUUAGUAAGACCAAAAGGCAUCACAAGGAAUUCGAAAGACCCGUACCUUGUUGUGCAUGCUGUCUUCGGUUCAUCUCCCUUGGCGAUGCGCACUUGAUAAUACCCGGAGCGCAAGUCAAGUUUGGUGAAGUACCGCGCCUUGCCAAGCUGGUCGAACAAGUCCGCAAUCAAGGGAAUCGGAUACUUGUUCUUGAUAGUGAUCUUGUUGAGCGCUCUAUAGUCGAUGCACAUCCGCAGCGAUCCAUCCUUUUUCUUUUGGAAGAACACGGGUGCACCGAAUGGGGCCUUUGAGGGGCGAAUGUAGCCUGCGUCCAGCAAGUCUUUGAGUUGUCUCCGCAACUCCUCUAAUUCGGGUGGCGCCCUGCGGUAGGGCGCCAAGGCUGUUGGCUUCGCGCCUUGUUCCAGCUCGAUCGCAUGAUCUACCUCUCGUCGAGGUGGGAGCUUCUUCGGAAGUUCUGGAGGCAUCACAUCCUCGUACUCAUUGAGGACUCUGUAUAUUUGCGGAGGGACUUGGCUUGGCGACGUUCCGCUAUUUCCUUCCUCAUUUAGUUCCCGAAUGGAGACCAAGAAGCUUGGGUCCUUCUUGAAAGCCCUUUUGAAUUGCAUGGCGGAGAGUGUCUUCUCCUCGGACUUGCCUCGCUCCGUGGGUACCAUGCAUGCUUUACUCCCAUCGAGGAUGCUUAGGGAGUUCGUAGCGGGCAGCGGGAAGGCAUGGACUUGGUCGAAGAAUUCCAUGCCGAGGACCAUCUUGAAGUCAUCCAUGGGCACAAUAGAGAAAUCAAGCUUUCCGCUCCAUGUACCGAGUGUGAUGUGCACGCCUUGUACAAUUCCCACAAUUGGCUUGGCGGGUGAGUUUACUGCCUUCAUUGUGCCUCCUUCCUUGGUGGCCUUGAGGCCUAAACGCUUGGCCUCAUCUACGGACACGAAAUUGUGUGUUGCUCCCGUGUCUAGCAGCGCGCGAACGGACUGGCCGUUUACCUUUGCGCUAACAUACAUGAGCCCUUUCUUGACUAGUGCGGGCUGUUGGCGGUUGAGUGUGCCGAGGCGUUGGAGAGAACCCAUGCUGAGUUGGGGUUCCUCCGUGGACAUUGUGGGGUUGCUCUUAAGUUGGGCAGCAAGAACAUUAAGCGACCGCUUCUCCGGACAGUCGCGUACCUAAUGCGGACCAUUGCAUAUGAAGCAUGGGCUUCGCGGCUUUGGCGCCUCCUUCUUGCCCUCCAAUUUUCCCUGCCAGCUCUUGUUGCUAGGCGGCUUUUUCUGCCCCCAAUCUUUGCGGUUGUUGCCCUUGUCCUUGCGACUCUCUCCCCCACCUUUGCCUUGGCUAGACUUCUUGUCUUUGGAUUGGGUAGAGUAUUCGGUGAGCGAUUCCGCAAUGGCGAUGGCGUCGUCAAGUGUUCGAACACCACGCCUAUCAAGCUCGGUCUUGGCCCAAUCCUUGAGGCCAUAUUGGAAGUAGAAGAGUGAAUCCUUGUCGGACAUGUCGCUUAUCUCCAAUAUAAGGGUAGUGAACUCGUUGAUGUAGUCCCGAAUGCUACCCGAUUGCUUGAGGCGACGUAAGCGCGCUCGCGCUUCCUUCUCCGCAUUGCUUGGGGUGAACUGCUUUCGGAGUUCUUGCUUGAAGUCGGCCCAAGUGUCGAUGGUGAAAAUGCCCUUGCCCAUCUCGCCAUGUUUACGACGCCACCAUAGUUGUGCAGCGCCUCUAAGAUAGGUGGGUGCAGUGCCCACUUUCGAUGCCUCAUCUCGUACACCCAUGGCAUCGAAGUAUUGAUCCAGACCAAAGAGGAAAUUAUCCACGAUUAUGGCGUUGCGUGUGCCAUCGUAGGUGUCGGGCUUUGGCACGUCAAUGCGGCGCGCAUCACUCGAGUUUGCAGAAGCUGGACUUGAGGAGAGUGUGCGCUUGUGCCAUGCCCAAUCCGAGCGGACUUCAUCCACUUCCGCACGGACAGCGCGUAGUUCGUCUUGAACAAAACUACGAAGUUUUAGCAACUCAUCAUGGAAAGAACGAAACUCACCUCGAAGAGUGUUUGCUUGCUCUUGGAUGAGAGCUUUGGUUGCCACCGUGAAUUCGGCGUAUUCUCCCUCAAGUCCGUCCACUCGUUCCUCCAAUCCCUCGAGGCUUUCUUGAGCGGUGGACAAUGCGAUUUCGAGAGUACCCACACGAGGCUCCAACGCAUCCACGGAUAGGGCCUUGGACUUGCCGCGAGUCUUGCCUUGAGCGCGUUCUCCCUCUCGGCCGCGGCUUGGUUCCGGUGGAACAUCCACACCAACAACACCCUCUUGUGCUACAUUCGAAGGGUUGGCCAUUGCUUCGUGAGCUAAUUUGCGUGCGUGCAAACCUUAGCUCUGAUACCACUUGUCACGGGAUGAGUGUUUUGCGUAGCUAACCCGUGCGGCACUUAGACAACUUUGCCGAAUGUUGCUAAGUAAGCCUAGAGCUUCUCGAACUAGAGAAGAGAGCAAUUGAGCCAAAGAAGAAACUUGUAUUGCACAAAGAGAGAAUACAAAGCUUGAGUUGUUUACAAUGUUUGUUGGAUACAAAUGCCUAAUGCCAUCCCAUAUUUAUAGGGGAGGUUUUGCCAAACUUGGCCUAACUUUGCCAAACUUUGCCAAACUCUAGAGUAUUCUACAAUUUCCUAGCUAUUUACAUGUGCUGGAAUUGUAUAAAGUAUUCUAGAAUAUUUACAUGUUCACAUGUGCUAGAGUUUCCUAGAACCUUCCGGAAUUGGGCCAAGCUAGCACUCUUGGCUUUGUGUUGGCUCUCUUGCCCGAAAUUGUGGGCAAUUGGGCUAGCGAAUUGGGCGGUCCGCAACAUUAGGCUUAAUUGUAUUAAAACAUUGUUCAUAUUUUAAAUAUAAUCAUUUAAUUUUUAUUAUUUAUAAAUUAUAAUAAAUUUAAAUUUAUUAAAUAUUAAUUAAAUUUAUAUUUAAAUAAUAAUAUAAGAUAGUAAUAAACCUAAAUAUUUAACAAAUAAAUGAUAAUAUAUUAUUUUACUUUUGUUCUAUAAAAUCAUUUUAAUUAUUUUACUUUAGAUAUAUAUAAAGUAUUUAAUGUUAUUUAAUCAUUUAUUAUUUUCUAACAUAUUAAAUGUAACAAAAUAAAUUAAACAAUUAUAUUUGACAUUAAUAAUAAAAACAAUUUUUUAAUUUAAUAACAUAAUAUAAAUAUUAUAUUGAAUAAUUAUAAAUAUUAUAUUUUUUGAAAUAAUAGUAUAUUAUUCAAUAUUAUAAUAUGAUUAUACUAUAUUAUUAUUAUUAUUAUUAUUUAAAAGGUAUACAGGUGGGCAAAGCCCAAAUUUAUUUUUGGCCGCUUACCUUCCCAAGUAAAGAUGGCCAACGGGCCAAGCGGCAUAUGGCACAGCACGGGCAUGGCACGUGUCCGUACAUCACUGCAUGGUACGAGCAUGUUUCGGUAGGGCACACGGCAUGGCAAAACAUGCACGUGGGUUGGGCCGGACUCAGAAUUUUUGGCAUGUAUGUGCCUUUUAAAGCAUGACAUGAUUAGAUAUUGGCCAAAAUAAGACAAAUGAAAAGGCACGUAAUAAGUACACUUCAUGAUGAGCUACCACGCGGCCCGUAGGCUAUCAAUAGCAUGUGGGCCAAAGUAUUAUCAAAGUAAAAUUUUUUGAUGAAAAGUAAAUAUAAAAUGUUAUGAUUUUGUAAAUUAAAGUUUUAAUAUAUUUUAUUUGCAUAGGCUUUUAAAAAUUAAUUUAAGUCUUAGUUUAAAAAAAUUCUAAUUGUUUUAUAUUUAUAAUUUAUUAAAUGAAUAAAUAAUAUCUUUAUUUUAAUAAAUAAAAUAUAAAUAUCAUGAUCUUAUAAAUGAUAAAUCAAAAAAUUUAUAUUAAUGUAAAUGAAGUAUUAAUAAAGGUUAUUUCAUGCUUAACAAUCAAUAUUUUGUAUUUUUGUAGUUGUGAUUAGUCAUAAUCCACAUUUUGUAGUUGUAAGUUUUGACUUGUUAUAAUUAAUAUCUCGUAGUUGUGAAUUCUUAUAUUUGUUAUUCGAGAAUUGAAAUUUUUAUUUUUAUUAACCAUUAUUAUGAUCUAUGCAAUUAAAUUUAUGUAUUGUUGUAUUAUGGUUGGUUAUUGUGAAAUUAAAUAUUUAGUUGUGAAAUUGUGAUACACUGAUAAUGAAAUGUUAAUUGUUCCCUUAAUAAAAAUUAUUAUUAUUAUUAUUAUUAUUAUUAUUAUUAUUAUUCUUGUUGUUGUUAUUGUUAUUGUUGUUCUUGUUGCUGUUAUUAUCAUUAUUAUUAUUAUAAGUGAAUGGGUUGAUGGGCUUGAAAAAGAACGUUAGGCACGUGGGCUUGAAAAAGCAUGCUAGGCAUGUAAAAAACAAGGUUAAUGGCUUUUCUUUGAGAAUAGCCCGAACACGGCACGCGUGGGCUUGUACCAUGGGUUGUGUGUAAUACCCUAGGCGAAUCCCACAUCAGCAAAGCACGGGGAGAGAUAGUGGGUUUAAAAGAGGUGAUCCACGCCUUAAUUGGCAAGAUGGGUUUUGGAGUGUAUGGCCGCCCUAGGAAAAAAACCAUGCGGGCCUUGUUAAGGCCCAAAGCGGACAAUAUCUUGCUACGUAUGAGUUGGGUCAUGACAUUAUGGUAUCAGAGCGGCUUCGUGUGUCGUCUUGAGCGAUGGUGGGGCAAACCUCAUCGAGGACGCUGAGUCCCUAAGUGGGGUGCAUGUAACACCCUAGAUGAAUCCUACAUUGGCAAAGUACAGGAGAGAUGCUGGGUUUAUAAGGAGUUGAUCCACACGAUAAUUGAAAAAACGCGUUUUGGGGCGUAUGAGCUCCCCAAAAACAAAACCAUACGGGCCUUAAAGCAGAAAAUAUCUUGUCAGGUCUGGGUUGGGUCAUGACAGAUGGUAUCAGAAUGGCUCUGCGUGUCCUCUUGAGCGAUGGUGGGACAAACCUCAGUGAGGAUGCUAAGUCUCUAACGGGGGGUUGUAUGUAACACCCUAGGCAAAUCCUACAUUGGCAAAGCACGAGAGAGAUGCUGAGUUUAUAAAGGGUGAUCCACACCUUAAUUGGCGAGACAUGUUUUGGUGUGUAUGGGUGCCUCAAGAACAAAUAGUGCGGGCCUUGUUAAGGCCCAAAGCAAACAAUAUCUUGCCAGGUCUGGAUUGGAUCAUGACAGAUAGUAUAAGAGUGACUCCGCUUGUCCUCUUGAGCGAUGGUGGGGCAAAUCUCAGCGAGGACGUUGAGUCCCUAAGGAGGGUGUAUGUAACAGACUAGGCGAAUCCCACAUUGGAAAAGUAUGGGCGAGAUGCUGGGUUUAUAAGGGGUGAUCCACACCUUAAUUAGCAAGACGCGUUUUGGGGUGUAUGGGCACCCGAGAAACAAAACCGCGCAGGCCUUAUUUAGGCUCAAAGUAGACAAUAUCUUGCCAGAUCUGGGUUAGGUCAUGACAGAUGGUAUCAGAGUGGCUCUACGUGUCCUUUUGAGUGAUGGUUGGGCAAACCUCAGCGAGGACACUAAGUCUCUAAGGGGGGUGUAUGUAACACGCUAAGAAAAUCCCACAUCGACAAAACAUGAGAGAGAUGCUAGGUUUAUAAGGGGUGAUCCACAACUUAAUUGGCAAGACGCGUUUUAGGAUGUAUGGGCACCCUAGGAACAAAACCGUGCGGGCCUUGUUAAGGCCCAAAGUAGACAAUAUCUUGAAAGGUUUUGGUUGAGUCAUGACAUUAAAUAAAUGAUUUGAGAUUUAAAAGAAAUAAAAUAAAAUACCCUUGAAUAUAUUAACCCAAAAUAUUAUAUUCUAUAAAAUAGAUAUAUAAUAAUAAUAGUAUAACAAAAAUAACAGGUGUUACAAUUUCUCUACCCCUAAAGAGAAAUUUCGUCCUCGAAAUUUAGAACCUCACCUUAUUCUUCAAAAAGUUGAGGGUACUUCUCCUUAAUCUCUAUUUCUCAUUCCCAAAUAGCUUCCUCUAUAGAGUGAUUCGCCCAACGAACUUUCACUAGUGGUAUGACUCUUCUCCUUAAAACUUAUUCCUUCUUAUCUAGGAUCUCUAUUGGUUGCUCCUCGUACGACAUAUCAUUAGAGAUCUAGAUGGGUCAGUAAUCCAAGACAUGAGAAGAAUCGGCCAUGUACUUCCUCAAUACAGGCACAUGGAAUACAUUGUGAAGUCUUAAAAGGCUUGGUGGCAAGGCCACUCGAUACGCCAUUGUGUCAAUUCUGUCUAGAAUCUCAAAAGGCCCAAUAAUCCCCAACUUGGAAUUCUAGAUCAAGUCUACAUUGAUCAACAUAACUCUUCUGCCUACUUUGAGCUGUACGGAGAUGCUCUCGUAUCAAUUUGAUUUUGUCUGUAGUAAUUUGAACUAAUUCUGGCCCCAAUAGUUUCCUUUCACCAACUCCGUCCCAACAAAUAGGCGACCUACACUUCCGCCCAUAUAAAGCUUCAAAAGGCACUAUGCCUAUGUUAAAGUAGAAGCUAUUGUUUUAGGCCAACUCGACUAAUAAAAAAUUCUCUUCCCAAUUACUUCCUAUCCAACAAACAAGCUCGUAACAUGUCCUCCGGAGUUUGGAUAGUCCUUUCUGAUUGUCCAUCAGUCUAAGAAUGAAAUGCAGUAUUGAACCUUAGUUUUGUCCCAAAUUUCUUCGACAAACCACCCUAAAAUUUAGAGGUAAAUCAUGGAUCUCUAUCUAAGACAAUGGACACUAGCACUUCGUGUAAUCUCAUUAUCUCAUUUAUAAAAAGUUGCCCUAGCUUCCAUAAAAUUUUCAGUACUCUUCAUUGGCAAGAAGUGCGCUGACUUGGUUAAUCGGUCUACAAUAACCCAUAUCGAGUCCCGACUUUUCCUUGAAUGAGGCAAUCCAUUCAAAAAAUCCAUGGUGAUAUGCUCCCACUUUCAUUCUGGAAUAGGGAGUGACUGAAGAGACCCAGUAGGUCUUUGCUCAAUCUUCACUUGCUGACACACUAAGCAUUUUGAAACACAAUCAGCAAUAUCACCCUUCAUAUUCCUCUACCAGAAAUUUUGCUUCAAGUCAUGAUACAUUUUAGUGUUCCUAGGAUGAGCACUAAAACUUGAGUCAUGGCCCUCUCGCAUAAUCUCCCUUUUUAAUCAAGCAAUCAUAAUCUUUCACCAACUCUAACCAUCUCUUUUGCCUUAAGUUCAAUUCUUUUUUAGUGAACAUGUACUUUGAACUCUUGUGAUUUGUAUAGAUUUUACAAGUUUCACUAUAGAGAUCAUGUCUCCAGAUCUUUAAAGCAAAGACCACAGUUGCUAACUCUUUAACUGUUGAGAUGCAUAUGCAACUACCUUACUAUGUUGCAUUAAUACACAUCCUAGUCCAUUUCUAGAAGUAUCACUAUAAAUGAAUAGCCACCACCACUAGAAGGAAUUGUUAAAAUAGGAGUAGAAACCAAUCUAUUCUUUAAUUCUUCGAAACUCUUCUCACAUUCAUCAUUCUAUUUAAACUUGAUGUUUUUCUUAGUCAAUUUUGUUAAUGGAGCCGCAAGACUAGAAAAUCCCUUUACGAAUCGCCUAUAAUAGUCAGCCAAACCCAGAAAGCUUCUAAUCUCAGUAACAUUAGUUGGUUUUGACCAAUUCACUAUGGCCUCAACCUUGGCUGGAUCAAUAGAAAUGCCCACCUUAGUAACCACAUGCCCUAGAAAAGCUACUCGGUCGAGCCAGAACUCACACUUUUUAAACUUUGCAUAGAGCUUCCUUUCUCUGAGUGUUUGAAGAACCACUCUUAAAUGUUCCUUAUGUUCCUCUAUAGUUUUAGAGUACACUAGAAUGUCAUCAAUAAAAACAAUGAAAAAUCAAUCAAGAAAAGGAUGAAAGACUCUAUUCAUCAAGUCCAUGAAAAGCUACUAGAGCAUUGGUUAGCCCAAAAGGCAUCGCAAAGAACUCAUAAUGCCCAUACCACGUUUGGAAUGCUGUUUUAGGAACAUCCUUGUUCUUCACUUUCAGCUGAUGAUAUCUAGACCUUAGAUCGAUUUGGAGAAUACUGUUGCACCUUGCAAUUGAUAAAAAAAGAUCAUCAAUGCGAGGAAGGGGGUAUCUGUUCUUGAUGGUAACUGUAUUUAGUUGUCGGUAAUUGAUAACUCUAUGAAAUGAGAGUUAUCAUGACACUUUUAGACUUAAAUCAAGAUUACUUAGAGAGUAAAUAAAGUGUUUUUAUUGCAUUUUAAUGAUAGUUUGCAUUCACAUCUAUUUUAGUUUAAUUUUAGUAAUUUUUUUUUUGUUUCAAAUAAUUAUGUGCUUAAAUCAUAUGCAUAAUUGUAGGUGAUUGGAAGCUCGAAUUUCAAGGAAAGGAUGUUGUUGCAAUGGGCUUGCAAAAAGAACAAAAGCACAUGGCUGCAGAAGAAUUGAAACAAGUCUGGAACAGUGCAGAUGUUGUAGCCAUUGCCGUAGCAACCAUUGCUGUAGCAAUCUUGGAGCAUUGACAUAGAAUAUUUCGCGUGAGACACUUAACAGAUUGCGAUAUGGAGUUUCCAAAUAUGGAAGAUACGCGCCUUAGACUUCCAGUUGCCCUAAUUUUAAUCUAUAAAGGAGCACACACGCAAAGGAAAAGGGAGAGCCGUCAACGAAGAAUAAAAACCGAAAAGAAACAAGAGAGAAACAUAAUCCAAGAGCAAAAUUAAGGGCUGCAUUAGAGGAGAAUUUGUAUAAAUCAAUCGGGAACCCAGUCUUUCUUAGUCUUCUCUUGUUUUCUUGUUUAUUCUUUAAUUACGAGGAUGUAUUUGAUGGCUAAAACACUAUUAUUUAUGUUUCUUUUAUAGAUUAUGAACUAAAUUUAUUUGUAGUUGAGUGAUAAAUAAUCUUGAUGGUUUUUUAACUGAAUAUAUGUGUUGCUGUUUGUUUGCUAUAACAUUUUGUUUUGAUAAUAUUUAUUUUUAUUCAUUAUUUCGGCUGACCACCCAUUUAAUGAUAUAACCUAAGAAAGAGCCACAAAAUGGCCUAUUUUAGUGGAACAUACAAGAGUAAUACUUAGUUUUAAAUUGAAUUUCCUGAGUUGAGUUUUACUUGAUUCCAAAAGGGUCAUGCCUAAUCCAACAUUAGUGAUGAACUAGAAUACUAGAAUACUUAUCAUUAUAUUACUUUUUGUGGACACUUGCACAUUGACACCAAAAACACAAGAAAAAGUUACAAUUGUAAUCAAUGCAUAACCAUGUAGAACCGUAUUUCUUCUUCACAAACAAUACCAGAGCUCCCAAAAGAGACACACUAGGGCGGAUAAAACCUUUAUCAAGAAGUUCUUGCAGUUGAACCUUUAAUUCCUUCAACUCAAGAGGUGCCAUACGGUAGGAUGUUUUAGAGAUAGGUGCAGUGCCAGGUAGUAACACAAUAGAAAAUUCCAUUUCUCGAUCAAGAGAUUAAUUUAGCAGAAUACAGAGCAUUAUCAAAGGGAUUUCUAACAUAUGGAUUAUCUUCGUAAAAUAUCUUCAAUGAUUACAAUUAUUUUAUAAAUAUUCCUUCUAUGCUAGCUAUACAUAAAUUUCAUGCAUUAAUGACUAUUGUUUUGGCCAUUAGUUAGGAUAGCAGUCAUGGGCGGUCCCAAUUAAGGUCCAGGAGGGGCUUCAGCCCUUUCUGGACCAAUAAUUUUUCUUUUAAAUGUAUCGCAAGCCCCUUCUAAAAAUUAAAUAAAAAACAUUUGGACACAUUUUUCAUGUAACAAAAGACUUAUGGUUCAAUGGUAAGAGUGUUAUUUUGAUGAUUUUAAAGUCCUGGUUCAAAUCUCAAUAGCCACAUUAUCAUUUUUUAAAUAUUUGUGAAACCUACUUAGAAAAAUGAUACUUUUAUGGAUUUAAAAUAAACAGUUUAUUGCUAUUAUUAUUUAGAAUUUAAAAGAAAGUAAUGAAAUUUGAUUUUAUGAGGCUUAAAAUGUAUUCAUGUGAACAUUUAAAAAAAUCCAAAUUAAAUAAAUUUUUUUGAACUAAACCCCCCCAAUUUAAGUGUCUGCGUCCACUAUUGACAGCAGUAGCUAAAGUUUAGGCCACUUGCUCUUUUAAUCUCACGAAUUGUCUUGUAUAAAUUCACGGUUUCAGUUUCAAUAAAGGUUAACCAAUUCUCUCACGCUUCAAUUUUCUUUAUGGUAUCAAAGCGUCUCGUGAGAUUUUCAGCAAUGGUCAACAAUGAACCAUCUCUAAAUAUUCAAUCAUUCCACCAAUGCACCAGCCUUGUCUCAAUCCAACUUAGCCCAUCUAAUUUUCUGUUGUGGAGAUCACAAGUGCUGCCAUUGGCUUGCAGCCUUGGAGUUUUGCACCAUCUAACAGAAAAAGAGAAGCCAACAACUAAAGUUGUAGAUGAAAGUGGCGACAAGGUACAGAAUCCUAAGCUCAAUGCUUGGAUCAAUAAUGAUAGCCUUUUAACCUCUUGGUUACUAGGAAACAUGACUGAAGUACUUGGAAUGGUCAUUAGAGCAAAAUCUACCUAUGAGUUAUGGAGCUUUCUUGAAGUGCAAUUGAUGCCUAUGACAAGAGAAAAAGUGGUUCACUUAACUGAUCAGCUGCAAUCCUUGAAAAAGGGAUCACUCAUAAUGAAUGAGUAUCUUAGGAAAUUCAAAGCCAUAUGUGAUAGUCUAGUUAUAGGAAACAAACCAUUGGAUGACAUGGACAAGGUCUUUCAAUUUGCAAGGUGUCUUGGAAUAGAGUAUAAAGAUUUCAUAGUAGCAAUGUUUGCAAAACCUCCUUAUCCUUCAUUUAACCAAUUUGUUCUCGCUUUGCAAGGCCAUAAACGAAUGCUCCUCAAUGAAAAGGAUGACAAGAAAUAGCAAGUAAAUUAUGAGCAGGCUUUUUUAAUUCAACAAGCCUUUUUAAGCCAACGUGGUAGAAAGAGAGGCAAUGGUGGUAGGUUCAACUAUACAGGUCGAGGUUUUACACCAGCUGGAUGUUCUGGAAAUAAUGGUGUGCACAAUAAAAAUAAAAAGAACCAAAUAACAAUGAAAUCAAUGGCAACCAAAGUGGACAACCCUCCAAACAACAGCAGCCGCAGCAUGAAGAAACAGAUAGUGGUAAAAUAGUUUGUCAAAUUUGUUUUAAGUCUAACCAUACCGCUCUUGAAUGCUUGAACAGGUUCAAUUACGCAUACGCCUCUGAAGAUGUUCCUUGUGCACUUGCUGCCAUGGUGGAGACAGACCUAACCUUGCUAUUUCAAGCAAAUCUACCUCUAAAACUUUGGGUUGAUGCAUUCCUAAUAGCAAUAUACUUAAUCAACCAAAUGCCUUCCUCGACCUAAAAAUGGGAAGCCCAUUUUUUAAGUUGUAUGAAAGGCAACCCAAUUAUACUUUCUUAAGAAUUUUUGGUUGUAGAUGUUUUCCAUACCUUAUAAAAUACGAUACGAAUAAAUUCUCCAAAAAGACAUACCCAUGUAUCUUCAUUAGGUAUAGUUCAAAUCACAUGGGGUAUCGGUGUCUAGAUCCUGUUUCUAUUAAAGUCUACAUAUCUAGGCAUGUAGUAUUUGAUGAAUUAUGUUUUCCUUUCAACAAAAAUAUUAAUAAAAAUGAUGUUUUGCAGCCUACUAUUCCAAAGAUGACAACAUUCCCAUAUAUGUCACAGUGGAGCAAGGAAACAAAGGAGACAAAUCACCAAUCUUCCAAGGAAAAUAUGACAAUUUCAAACUAGGACAUUAAUGCCUUUGUUGAAUAGCCUCAUAAUAUUGAUGAAAUGAUCUCAAAUUCUCUACUAAUACCACAAAACAAUAGCCAGCCAUAAGAACAACUCAUACAUGAUCAAAAUGUAUAACCAUCAAAUGCUGAUCAAAUAUAUGUGGCUGAUUCGCAAUAACACUUUCAUGUUCAUGAUCCUAAUGGCUUAGGAGAAAACUUAUUCACUGAAUUAGUUAUUCCUGACAACACUAUCACUUUUGAAAAUAUUCAGGUGCAAGAAUGCUUCAAAUAUAAACCAAGCAGAAGCCUUAGUAAACACACAUAAUAUGAUUACACGGCAUAAAUUGAAACAGAAUCCAGCCUUGGCUAGUGAUACGAUGCUGAUCACUCAACAUGCACUUUUAUUGAUAGAACCAAAAACUUACAAAUCAAUACUCAAAAUUCCAUGCUAGUUUAAAGCAAUUGAGGAAGAAAUUCAUGCCUUGAACACAAACCUAACAUGGUCUUUUGUUCCUUGGCCAAAGGAUGUGAAUUUCAUAGGAUCAAAAUGGAUCUUUAGAACAAAGUUCAAAGAAGACGGAAUUGUGGACCGCUACAAGGCUCGCUUGAUAGCUCAAGGAUUUUCUCAAGUUGAAGGAUUGGACUUGGAAGAAACUUUCAGUCAUGUGGUGAAGCCAACAACAAUAUGAUUAAUCUUUGGAAUUGCAGUCACUACAAAUUGGAAAAUCAGACAACUAGAUGUAAAGAUCGCAUUUCUACAUGGUUUUCUCAAGGAAACAGUCUACAUGGAACAACCACCAGGAUUUAAAAGUCUUGAGCAACCUGACCAUGUUUGCAAAUUACAACAUUCUCUCUAUGGUCUCAAACAAGCACUUAGGGCUUGGUUUGGCCGUUUAUCUCAAUUUCUUCUCCAUAUUGAUUUCACUUGUAGCAAAGCUAAUUCUUCCUUUUUUAUUUACGAAACUAACACAAUAAUUGUUCUUAUGUUGGUUUAUGUAGAUGAUGUAGUAAUAAUAGGAAACAACAAUGACUUCAUCGAGAAUCUAAUUCAUAAGCUUAGCACUAAAUUUGCGUUAAAAGAUCUUAGGCAACUCCACUAUUUCCUUGGCUUAUAAAUAAAAUAUAUCUCGGGUGGAAUAUUUAUUGCUCAAUCAAAAUAUAUAAAGGACUUUUUUACUGUGCCAAAAUGCUUAGCUGCUCUUACUUGAAAACUUUAAUGGCCAUAAAAGAUGAACACAAACUUGGAGACAACAAGCACACCAAUCCUACCGAGUAUAGACAACUAGUUGGGGCACUUCAAUAUUUAACUUUUAGCAGAACAAAUAUUGUUCAAGCUAUGAACAAAGUCUGUCAAAAAUUUCAAAGCCCCACAAUAGGCAAUUUGAGUGCAGUAAAAAGGAUACUUAGAUACCUCAAGGGAACAAUGGACUACGAACUUUGCUUUAUCUCUCAAAGCUCUCUAACUUUAAAUGGUUUUUGUGAUGCAGAUUGGGGUGGCUAUAAAGUAACUCAAAGAAGCACAAUAGGAUACUGUAUAUACUUGGGGAUCUAAUUGUAUUUCUUGGUCCUCAAAAAGCAACCCACAGUUUCCAAGUCAAGCAUUAAAGUAGAAUAUCGAUCUCUUGCUUGAACUACUACAGAAAUAACAUGACUUACUUUUCUACAGCGUGACAUUGGCAUUCCCCUCUAUGAACCACCACACUAUUUUAUGAUAACCUUAGUGCACUACAUAUGACUAUCAAUUCAGUGUUUCAAGCUCGGUCCAAACAUAUUGAAAUCGAUUACAAUUUUUUCUAAGAAAAAGUCGCACUAGGAGCACUCAUCACGAGGUUUCUACCCUCUACAAAACAAAUUGCUGAAGUAUUUACAAAACCGCUGCCAAGGCAAUCUUUCUUUCAAUUUCGAUACAAGUUGGGAGUUCAUUGCGCUCCACCCUCCAGCUUGAGGGAGGAUGAUAAGGAAAGACCUCAAUCAUCGGAAAAUCAUGGAGAUUAAUUUAGCGGAAUGCAGAGCACUAUCAAAGGGAUUUCCAAUGUCUAGAUUAUCUCCAUUAAAUAUCUUCAAUGAUUACAAUUAUUUUAUAAAUAUUCCUUCCAUGCUAGUUGUACAUAAAUGUCAUGCAUUAGUGGCUACUGUUUUGGCCAUCAGUUAGGAUAGCAGUAGCUUAAGUUUAGACCACUUGCUCUUUUAAUCUCACGAUCUGUCUUGUAUAAAUUCAUGGUUUUAGUUUCAAUAAAGGUUAACCAAUUCUCUCAUGCUUCAAUUUUCUUACUUGUGAUGCAUGAUUUUUCCAACUUUUGUUUCAUUUUGCACUUUUUGAUUGGCACCGAAACGACCACUACAAAUUAAUUUGAGAAUAUUAUAUUUAAAAAUUAUGUACUACAUCAAGUUAGUGGAGUCCAAAUAGAGAAAUUAAACAUGCCACAGUGAUAAUAUAUACACUUAUAUAUAUAUAUAUAUAUAUAUAUAUAUAUAUAUAUAUAUAUAUAUAUAUAUAUAUAUAGUCUUUCUAUAGUGCUAACAUCCUCAUUUUUUUUCAUGUGGGCACGUUGUUAAACUGUGUGUGGUUAAAUAGAGUUGGUUUUUAAUGCUAUUAAAUCACACGGUUUUAUAUUGUACUGAGAAUUAACUCUAUUAAGUUGCAAGGCUUAACAGGCCGCACUAACAAAAAUGAGGUGCCCACACCUGAGAAUGAUCAUAUAUGUAUAUAUAAGUUGUCAGUUGAUAUAGAAAAGACAUGGAUUCACCUGUCAAAAAUUAUAAUAAACAAAUUGUCUAGAGACGAUUUUAUCUGAAAAGUGAUGAUACUUACCCUGAGUCAAACUCCAAAUGGGCUUCUUUGUUAUAUUUUCUAAACUUCUUAUGGAAUUGUAAAAAUUAUUCAAGGAUUUACACUUAGCUAGCCUUGAUUUUUUUAUUAGCUCGAUAAUUUCUUCAUCAAUCUCUUCUACAACUUUUUUUUAAAAAUUUUUUAGAGUUUUUAUUAUAUUUUUAUAAAGAUCUAAGUGAUUAUCAUAUUUAUAAAAAUCUAUAAAUUCUGAACAUAGUACAUGCAUUUAUAAUUCCUUGUCUUUAUUGACACAUAAACCAAAUUUUUUCUUCUAACAUGUCUGUAUAAAUUCCCAAUCUAUUUUCCCAUCCAAGGUAUAUGCCAGCAAUGAUUUCACAUGGUUUUAACAAUCUCUAUUUUAUUCAUAACUUAAUACUCUUCACUAAUUGCAUCUAAAAAUUUAUUGACUGAUGUUUCCACUUUUAUGAAAUGGAGUUACAAUUACCGUCUCAUUUAAUAUAAAUUCUAGAAAACAAUCAAGGCCCAGCAUGCUUUCUUUUGUGCCAAAUUGAGUUACGAUAUGAUAGCUAGUCAGCUCUUGACUGAAAUUUAUUUGCCCAAACAUUUCUGAAAGAAUAACAAAUCUGAUCAAUUUAAUUCAUCUCCGGUGCGCUUUAGUAGGACGAACAAGUCAAUCGGGUUCUGAAAUUUCUCAAAUCUAGAGGCAUUCUCUUCAACCUUUACAGUGAAAUGGUUGAAAAACGGCUCUACGAAUUCACUCCCGAAAUGCUCCAUGACGACUCCCUCAUAUACAGCUCUUACUGCUGAAGUGCGACAUUUAGCGAGGAAUGUUGAUUGCGACAUACGAUCAGCCAGUUGCUCCAUUCUCUCAAUUGUGAAAUAUUUAUUUGUUUUGAUUAUUGACUCCAGCUCCUUAGGGGUUGGGCGGUGAUUAGGGAUGUUGAAGGAAUUGAUUUUUUCUUUGCUGGUUAUUCCCUGCAAUAUAAAAAAAAAUUACUUUUAAAAUUUAGAACAAGAAUUUCCCCGUAAUAAUCUGAGUUUAGCCUGAGCGAAAUUCACUUAAAUGGUUGAUGAUUAAUAAAUAAAAAAAUAAACAUAGUUAAUUUUCAGCCAUACAAUACUAUUUCCAAUAAGCACAAAAUCAUUAAAAUUUCAUGAGUAACAGGAGAAAAGCCUAUUUCUAUAAUUUAAUACAAUUAUUAUGGAUUACGGUUUUUCAUAUUUUAAAUUCUUACCAUUUUAGCCAUGUCCAUGAGGCAAGAUCCAAAAACAUCAUAAAAUACACCAAGAGUAGUCUGAGACAAUGGAAUCCCAUCGGGUACAGCAACUAUAAGAAUGAACAUCAAGCCUCCAGCCACUAGUUCUUGUGCUCUAGCGUUCAGAAAUGACUCGAUGUCAUUCUUGAACUGAGCUGAAUACGCUUCCGCUACUUCAUUUACAAAUCUUUUAUUCCGAAUACUUUCUCUAUUCCAGGCCAGUGAAUUUCCGCCCGCUAUUUCUUUCGGAAUCUUGGAGAGCCAAUGCAGGGCAUAGGAUGAGUUUAUAAUAUGUAAAGUUGACUUGGGAAACAAGCGAUUCUGGAAAAAACCCGGCACACCGGCAGCAAAAUAUUUUCGUGAAUGUGGAAGGGCUUUAAAGAGUGUGUUAAAGUCAUUCUCGGGAUGAUCAUUGAAGAACACUUGGAAUUCUAUAGUUGAAGGGUUUUGGUGACAGCUUCUAAGAGUUUCAGCUCUAUAGCUUCAAUGAUAUUUUGCACAACAAUGAAGGUGUUAGGUCCAGUUGAGCAGCCCAAGUCUGCUACUCGAAAAGUACUUGAAGUAUCAAUUUUCAGGAGCUUCAAGUCAAGCUUAUCGGCUAUGGCUUCAUUGAUCAGCUCCUUUGCACGUUCCAUAACUCGCCCCUGUAGAUAUCGAUUCAAUCGAGUCAAUUCUGUUUGCAAAGGGGCUAAAUGAAACUAAAAUUAAAAUUAUAUAUAAAUAAAAUAAAAGGGUGAUUGUAUAUCACUAAAUUAAAGGGUAUUUUUUAAUUGAGUCCUCAUUAUUUCUAGAAAAAAUUUCAGAGACCAUAAAUUUACUAAAUGAAUUAAUUAAAUCCUUUCAAGUACAAAUUAAUAUCAUUCAAGUCCUUAACUUAACUCUUCAGUUAGAAAUAUUAACAACGUUGAGGACAUUUUAGUAAAAGAACAAUUGAACCCUUCCUCAUUCUUUUAUUUUUGACAGGUGGCAAUAGUUUAAAGCAAAGUCAAUUCACCUAACCAAGUUAAAGUUCUUUCAAGCGGAAAAAAAAAAAAAAACCUCAAGAAGAAACUGCCGUAUUCUUCGUGUGAGAGGAGGGAUUGAGAGAACGUGGGAUGAUGCCAAAAAUAUUGUAUAAAUAUACUGUAAUUUUGACCAAAGCUUUGUUAGCAUUGGUUGAGUUCAAGUAUUGGAGAGAAGCCGAGCUUAAAGGUUAGUAACUCUAAUUUUUAAGUGAUUUUUGCAAGUAUUUUCUGAUAAAAUUGUUUUCAUAUUUAGUGAUCUUUGUGAAAAAUUAGGUUUUUCAAGUCUAUUUUUCUACAUGACAAACUAUGUUUAAUUAUUGGUGGAUUUUUUUUAUUGAAUGCUGUGUUUUGUUAAUAUAUUUUUUUUAAUUUGCUCUUUAUAUAAUAAUUAGACCAAAUACACCAUAUUUAUAUAUGUAUUUAUUGAACUUAUUUUGCCUAUUUUAUGGGCUUUCUUGAGUUGUUGUAUAUGUACAAUAUUUCAUUUCAACCAAUUGGUAUCAUUAUAUUAAUAAGAUUGAAUUCAUUGUAUUUGCUUUUUUGUUCAUGUAAAAUUGAAUUCUAUGUGUUAUUAUGAGUGGUAAUUUUUAUAUAUAUUAGACUAAAUUCUCUAUAGUUGUUGGGUUAUUUUUUCUUUUCAGUUUUUAUUUUUAUAUGUAUUAGAUUGAAUUUUCUUUUAUACUUUUUUUAACCGAAUUACAUGUAUAUUUCAUUUAGGUUGAGUUUUUUAUUCUUUGCUAAAUAAAAUUGUAUUAGUUUAGCCAUUUUUUGAUGCAAUACUUUUUUGUUUUAAAAUUGAUGCAGGUAGUCAUGUUACAUUUUUUUUUGUUGGUUAAAAUUAAUGGGGCGGUGUAUGAGAUAGGAUAUAGGGACCCAGAGGAAUAUAAGAUUAUUAGGUUGUUUCAUGAAAUUCUAGAAGUCAUGGUUAAGUAUGGACACAAUGAAAUGGAUUUGAUUGAAAUUUUUGUUGUGUUGCCAUGGACUACAAGUAGGUAGAGGAAGCUAAUUUCAAAUGAUAGUGAAUUGUAUUCGGUUUUUGAGGAGUUUUUUACUAAUAGUUGUCCUGUUAUUGAGUUUGAGGUGCACACUAGGUUAGGUGGUCAAUCAUGUCAUGAAAGUGUUGUAAUAGGAUCUGAAAAUCUUGUCAAUAUAGAUGUUAGUAUGGGUAGUGAUAAGUUUGAAAAACUUAGUGAGGAUGGCUUUAUCGAGGGGCACUCAUCUGAUGAAGAGAAUUGUCUCUCACAGAUGUAUGAAUCCAUUGUUGAUAAUGAGUGGAAACCAAAUCUAAAUGGUUCAGUUAGUCUAAAAGUAGGAAAUACCUUUGAAUCUGUUGCAUUAUUAAGAGAGGUUAUGGUGAAAUAUGCAAUCCAAGAGGGUUUUGAGUUAAAUAGGAUUAAAAAUGAUGGUGUUAGGUAUACUUGUUGUUGUGUUAAUCCAAAAUGCACUUGGAAACUUCAUGCUUCAUCGAUGGUAGAUGGGAUAACUUUUAAAAUUAGGUAUAUUAAAGGGAAACAUGAUUGCCAGAUUAAAUCAGUUAACAAAGAUGCAACAGCACCUUGGAUAGCUAAAGUUUGUGCUGGACUUAUUCAAACUAACCCAGGAGUUGGUGUAAAUGUCAUAAGAAGUGAGUUAAAAGAUAAACAUGGGAUUGAAUGUGACAAACAAAAACUAUACAAGCAAAAAAAAUUGCAUUAAAAAACCUAGGUGCUGACCACAUUGCUUACUAUGGAAAGCUUUUGAAAUCUGCUCACAUUCUAAUGAAAAUGAAUAGAGGUGCUUGUGUUAAGGUAAAGGUUGAUAGGCCAUUGUCAAAUAGCCCAGUUUUUCAAAGGUUUUUUUUGUCAUUUCCUGCACUUAAAGUGGGGUACCUAACUGGGUGUAGACCUUUCAUAGGAUUGGAAGGGUGUCACUUGAAGGGGCCAUACAGGGGAGUAUUGUUAUCUGCUGUUGCAUUAGAUGCUGAUAGUGGAAUUUUUCCACUGGCUUUUUGCAUAUGUGAGGUAGAGAACUAUGAUAGUUGGGGUUAUUUUUUAUCUUUGCUGUAUGAAUUCAUUGGGGCUGAUGAUCAUAGGCCUGUAACUAUUAUUAGUGAUAGACAAAAAGGUCUUUUAUGUGGAUUGGAAAAAUAUUGGCCUAAUGCUAGUACUAGAUAUUGUGCUAGGCAUAUCUUUGCCAAUUUGAAGUGUAAGUUUCCUGGUUUGAAUGUCAUGGGGUUCUUCUGGAAAGCUUGUAGGGCUGCAAAUCAAUAUGACUUUGAGAGGGCAAUGAGUCAAAUUAGGGCUAAAGACCAAAAUUGUUAUGAAUGGUUGAGAAAAAUACCACCUGCACAGUGGUCUAGAAGCGGGUUUGAUCAUCAUGUGAAAUCUGACCAUGUUACAAACACCAUGACUGAAUCUUUUAAUAAGUGGGUGGAUGAGGUUAGGGAUAAGCCUGUCCUAACCAUUCUUGAGCAUAUUCGUAGACAACUAAUGGUGAGAAUGUUGAAAAAAUAUCAGUUAGGUGAAACUUGGCAAGACCAUUUGACCCCAUAUGCUAGAGAAAGACUAAAUCAAUCCUCAAAUGAGGCAAGGAGAAUUAAGGUCUUUGGAGGUAGAGGGGAGCUGUUUGAAUGUUGUCAAGCUGGCUAUAGAAACUUCCUGGUACAUAUUAUAGAUGGUACAUGUGAAUGUGGGAUGUGGCAAGUUAGUGGAGUGCCUUGCAAACAUGCAGUAGCUGCUAUUCUUCAUAAAGGAGGGCAACCUGAAAAUUAUGUGCAUCAUUAUCUGACCAAGGAAUCUUUUAUGAUGACAUACAUGGGGACUAUAAAUCCUAUUCCUGAUGAGUGUGCUUGGCCUGAAGUGGAAGCUGAACCUUCCCCUGAUGUUGUGGUGCCUGUAAAGGUUGGACCACCUGACAUAAAGGCUCUAGUUGGUAGACCGAAAAAGAAAAGAACAAAAGAACCUGGUGAGACCAAACUAAUUGGUAAAAGGUUUACUAUCAAAUGUAGUGCUUGAAGAUGUCUUGGGCACAACAAAAGGGGCUGCCCUAAUUUUCCAAAAACCACAAGAACUAUAGAGGUAUAACAUAAGAGUCAUUGUUGUUUUUUAAAUUUCAUUUGGUGAAGUUAACAAAUAUUGAUCUUGAUGUUGUGCAGGGAAGCAAUAGGACUUCAUCAAGUGCACAUGUUUAAUUUAAUUAUAAAAUUUUAAUUCAAAAGGAUUUUUUUUUCUUUUGCACUAGAUAUUGCUUAAAACUUGGUGAUGUUGGUUGUGUGCAAGGAAGAAAUAAGGCUUAAUCAAGUGGACAUGUUUAAUCUAGUUCUAAAAAUUUAAUUCUAAAGGAUUUUUUUUGUUCUUUUUCAUUAAAUUGCUUAAAACUUGGUGAUUUUUUUUGUGCGCAGGCAAGCGAUAUCACUUCAUCAACUGCAUAGGUCUAAUUUUGUAAUUGAAUCUCCUUAUAUAUGUUUUGUUAUGUUAUCAAAUGGAUUAAUAACUUGGUACUAUAUAUGUUUGAUUUAAUCAUGGAAUUAUAUUGAAUAAAUUGAUUCUUUUUUUUUAUUAAAUGAAAUUGAUGUCUUUUUUUUUUCUUUUUGGACAACAUGGAACUAACCCACAAUCUCAAGAAGUAGAUGUCAAUGAACAAUCAAUUGACAAUAGUUCUGAACAAGCUAGUUAGGCUUCAAUCAAUGUCACUCAACCAGUGGGGCUGUAUACACAACUAUUGUGGACUAUACUUCAACCUCAAAAUGAAGAACUUAUCACUGUUAACAAGGAGUAGGAUAGUACAAUUUCACCUUGGAUUGACAUUUAAUUCUCCAUUAUAGAAUUUAGAAGACAAUUAACUAUUUUUUGUGUUUAAAUUUCAGUUUACCUUAGUAUUGUUAAGGUAUUUGUUAGUUUGAAUUUAAUUGACUUUCAUACUUUUAAUUUCAUUUUUAGACCGAAUGUUAUUGUGAUUUUUUUAAUAUUAUAUUCAAUACAUAUGUUAUUUAGUUUAACAAUUAUUAUAUUUUUAUAGAUGUGAUGAAAUUAUAUGGAUAGCAAAUUACAUUUUCAUGUAUAAUUCACUCAAAUUGAUAAAUAGGCUGUUAGAUUGAAAAAACAAAUGUCCAAGGUUAAAAUUGUACUUUAAAUCACUAAUAUGAUUAUAGGGGUAUACCUGUCUUUUAUGUUUAACUUAACAUUUUCACUAAUUUUUUUAACGGAAGAAUUGGGUUAAGGGCUUGAAUGACAUAAAUUUACACUUGAAAGGAUUUAAUUGAUUCAUUUAGUAAACUUCUGGUCUCUGAAUUUUUUUCUAAAAAUAAUGAGGACUCAAUUAAAAAUUACCGCUAAAUUAAAUGCUACUUUAUUUAAAUUUGUGCUUGAUUAUUUUUCUUUAAUAUUUGUUUUUGCAUAGAAUUUUACCUGGCCGCUAGAAUUUUUUGCAUAGCUGUGAGCACCAUCUCCACCAACCAUGGGUUGUGCCAUUUUCUCUUCUUUUUUAAUUUCAGAGCGACGAAAUUGUUAGGAAAUUGGUGGGUGAUGCAGGACCGCAGCUAAAAUGAAAUUGGAAAUAAAAUAGAGAACAAGCACAAUAGAGGACACCAGAAAUUACGUGGUUCGGCUUUUAGCCUACGUCCACGGGCGAAAACAGAAGGAAAUAUUUUACUAGUGAAAUAAGGAUUACAAGUAUUGUAAUAUUUUGGCUCACAACCCAAAACCCCAAUACACCCAAUCUCUCACUCACUAGACUCUCUGCUCUGCAAGAAUUAUUUCUCACAACUCUCGACUCUCUCUACAAAAUUGAAUGCCUCUCAAAAAUGGAAUUGAAUAAAUGAAUUAGGGAGCUCUUCCUUUUAUAGCCAAAAAAUGGCUAUUAAAUUAAUAUAUAUAUGUAUAUAUUUCAAAUGUUGUUGCCAACUUCUUCUUUUUCUCCAUUUGGAUGGCACCAUUUUCUUUGGCCGGCUUGUCAAAGCCAACUUGAAUUGGCUUUGUGGCCACCGGCCUUUGACAGAAAUAAUAUUUGUGCGAUUCAAAGAUGCUUUUGAUGAGUUUCAAAUUGCAAUGGGAUAACAACAUUUUAUAGAUGUUCGUGCCAAAACAUCGCUUGUGCCCAUACACUUAAAAUCUGUUGUAUUGAUAAUAGGUAUUCUUAUUAUGAAAGAAAAAUGGAGCUUCCAAAUUACUUUAUUAUAUCUCUGUUUAAUAUAACAGUGCAACAGAUGAAAGUUGGAGUUCAUUUACCUUUACUUAAUACUUUCGAGCUCUUGGGUCUUGUAUGACGCUUGUGAUGGCAUAUCCCGUUGAGUUUGUGGCCCUCAUAGUCCCUGCCAGUGAAUUGUUUGCUACGUUCAGGAUUCUUAAACUGCCAUUUAUAAUGAGCUGAAUCACCUCUCUUGGUAUUCUGCCAGUUAGAUUGUUAUUAUUCAAUCUCAUGAACUUCAAGGAUCUCAAGUUUCCAAUGGAUGCUGGAAUGGCCCCUGACAAUUGAUUUUUGAACAGGCCCAAGCUGAUCAGCUUCUUUAAAUUACCAAUCUCGCUUGGAAUCGAUCCACUUAUGUUAUUUUUAUAAACAGACAGAUACUGAAGAUUAGUCAGAAGUCCAAGCUGAGGAACAAGAGGUCCGCUUAAUCCGGCAUUACCAAGGUCCACCCUGACGACGAUGUCCUCGCUGUUGCAGGUAACGUGAAGCCAGGUGCAUGGAUUGACCAAAGUUGGAUCCCAGCUUUGGAGAACAUUUUUUGGGUCACUCAACAUGGUUCUCCAGGUAUAAAGAGCAUCCACUUCCAUAUUACAUUUUACAGGGGCGGCAAAGGCAGCCACGCCCACAACAAUCACAAACAGAACAUAUAAAUGAGAUUGAGACGCCAUGCGGACAGGGCGUUUAGAGUUAAAGGAAAUCUGAUCGAGAACUAGGAGCUUACUCAAGUUUCAAGUUGCUUUUCUUUAUUGGUUGAUUCCUAAUUUAUAUAUACGCCCCGGGGGGGGGGGGGUGUUGUAUUGAUAAUAGGUAGUUGGAUUGGAAUCUUAUUCACGUGAAUGAGAAACAAAAAUUUGUGGGGACAACAUCAAUAAAGAAAAUGUUUAAUAUUUUUUAUAUAAAUUUUUUGAAUAAACUUUAAUUGCGUGGGUGGGGACGAGCAAACAAUUUAUUUAUAAAUUUUUUACUUCAAAAUACCACUUUCAUCGUGAGAGUCCAACAUUAAAUUGUACAAGAUAAAUAAUUCAAAAUUUGUAUAGAAAUUUUAAUUAAAAUAUUUAUGUUACAAUAUGCUUACUUUACAUGUACGUAAACCCCCAUACUUAGAAUUAUCUUUCUCUCUGUUUACCAACAAAGUGUUGGCUCCACUGGCAAUAGAGUCCCCUUAAGUGGCUUGACUGGGUUUGCUCCCCAGUUCGAGUCGCAGGGAAGUCACCUUUGUUGGGAGAACCUGUGCCUCCCGGUUCGAGCGGGGACUUCUAGUCUGGGUUGUGGUACGGGCUUAAAGGUGCCUCCCACAGUUGGGGCCCUCUCCAGGAUACCUCGUGAUUAAUAUCAAAAAAAAAAUCUUUCUCUCUGUUUAACUACUUUUCUUAUCUUUAAACAUUUUUUCGCGCAUGUGCAUCCUAGCUCCGGGGUUGGCUCUUGAGAAUUGGUGUCCCAGAAAUAAAAUAGAGAAUCACAAAUGUACUAAACUUUUCCAAAUGUGCACUCUAAUGUUUGCUUCAUGUACUUUCUGCUCAUGAUUCGUAGGAGUUAAAUACUCUUUAUUAUUUUAUAUAUUCAUUCAAUUAAUCAUGUAAAGUCACACUAAUUUAAAAAAAUAAUUUAUAAUUUUAAUAUUACGUAAAAUUUUAGACAAGGAUCCUCUCUUUAUCUUUUUUUUUUCUCUCUCUUCUUAUCGCUUCUUAUUUUAUAAGUUGCAAAGAUUAAGCUUUGUAUUUGUAUUUUUUACUUUAUUUAUAAUAAGUCAAUCUUCUUUUACUAGAUUAUGAAGAUAAGGAGAGGAAAGGAUAGCAAGAAAUGGGGGGAGGAUCCUAGUCCCAAAAGUUUUUAAUUUUUUCUUUUUAUUUUGGUGGAUGCGAACAAAAAUAUCUGAAAUGCUAGAUCUUUUCAACAAUAUAUAUAACACAAAAUUUGAUUAUUUUUUAUUAGUACAGUUAAUUCGAACAAUUUAUGUUAGUCUUGGACUUUGCUUUUCCCUUUGCCUAACUCUUCCAAUUGUUCUCAUUCUAUUUCAUUGUCAAUUUUCAAGUAUGAUAUUGUUCUAAACUCUCGUGUGUCAUCGCUUGAUAAUCAUCUUCUUCGCUAGAAAUUUAAACUAAAUGAAACGAAAGAAAAAGAAAAUGUCAUGUGGUGUCGAUGUAUUCUUAUUUGAUUAUUCACUUUCUUUUCCUAUACUUAAUUAAUCAUUCACUCGACCAAUGGAUGUAUGUUCUGUUAUAUUGAUAUCGUAUUCAUUGUAAUUCGGACCAAAAUAAAACAUGGAAAUGCUUUAUGAAGAGAAGUACGAAAGAAAGACGAGAGAAAUAAAGAAGAAAAUGGUAGAGAGAGAGUGAGUGGGUAGAGAGAGAGAGAGGACAUAAAAGAAUGUCAGAUGGUCCGUAUUUCUUGAGAAUAGAGGAUAGAGGAUAGGAUAUAGUGUGGAUGACUUUCUCCAAAGCAGCCACUUGCACUUGUUUACUACUUUCUUUCUUUUUUUUCUUUUUUCUUUUUAAAUUACUGGAGUAUAAUUCUUGGGGAAACAAAAUCCUUUGAAGAUUUAAUGCAAUUCAAUUUUUUUUGUUAUAAUUUUGACUUUGAGGGUUGUUAGCAUGUUGUGGUGUUAUUACUUUUAACAUCGUGUGUUUACUUUUAACUUUGUAUUUACCUAUUGUGGAAAUCAUUGAGAUUGCUGUGUUGAGGAGUUGUUGCUUUUACAGGCAUUGCUGAUCAUUUUCCGUAUUUCUGCGUUUGAAUUUCUGGGUUUAUUGACUUGCUGGACAUAAUUCCAGGUGGUAUUGUCGAUUGAUUGGUAGGCUAGACUCUGAUUCAAGGAACAUGAUUUACUGGACAUAAUUUGCUUUAUUAAUUUCUUUUUGUUUUUUUUUCUUUUAGUUCUAGAUUUUUCAGCUAAGAAGUUAUUAUUUUAGUAUUACAAUUGUUACGGAAUUUCAGUUCUUUUCAGAGAUUAUAUUAUCUCAUUAUAUAUAUAUAACUUCUAGAAUGUCAGAUGGUCCGUAUUUCAGCUAAGAAGUUAUAUAUAUAUAUAUAUAUAUAUAUAUAUAUAUAUAUAUAUAUAUAUAUAUAUAUAUAUCAAAAUAAAUGUAAUUAUGCAAAAUUAAUAAUUAAUAAUAAUAAUAAUAUUGGCGCCAAAAAUAAAUUUAUUCCCGCAAAAUUAAAUUUAAUAAUCUUAAUAUGUAGGACAAUACUAGUGUGCUUUAAUUUCCACAACAUAACAGAUUUUUGAAGUCUGAAUAAUUGACGAUCGAUGAGUCCGCUCACAAGCUUAAACGGAUCAGUCUACAAUACAUUUACUUAUAUUUGACCCAAUUUUUUUAUAUAUUAUAUAUCAGCUCUUGGAAAACAAUUUUACAGAAGGUAUUCCAUUAGGAGAUUGUUAUAUUUUCUUCCUAAUAUGAAGCAAGUCCAAAGCAUGAUAUUCAUCUGAAGUAAUUAAAAUGAUUAUGGAACUGAUUUAAUUCCGUUUUCUCAAACAAUGUGUAUCAGAUCUUGGAGUUUGUACUUGACCUAAUAAAUUAAAUUUAUAUAUUUAUUGACGAUUGUGGACUAAAACGUAUAGAAGCACUGCCUACUUUCAAAUGAACCCAUGAAUUAAUGAGGGUAUCGCUUUGGCCUGCCAGAUAAUAAAAGUUGUCGGCAGAUAUAGAGGCAUAGAUCAUCAACGUUAGGCUGUAAUCAUAAAAUCGAAAAUUAUAAUAAAUAAAAUAAAUAAAUUGUCAGGAGAUUGUUUUUUUCUGAAAUUUCAGUUGCGUGGUCCCGACCACAUUCAAAUUUUCCCGAAAAUUCAUAAUGGAUAAAUAUAAUUGAACGAAAUUAAAUUAUAUAAUUUCAUUAAUAUGUAUUAAACAAUUAAAAAUCUAUUAAUAUUUAUAAUAAAAAUAUCUAUUUACUAAGACAAUUCUAAAUAAAAUUAAUCUAUUAUAUGUAACUUCAGAAGAUUUAUCGGUAAAUUGCUCUAAGCAUUUUGUUGUAGUUUACAAAUAUUUUGUUACUUUGUAAGAAAUUUUACAAGUGCUGAUGCUGAGCAGUCUGCAUAAUUUUUAUGAAUCAGAGAAACGGGGCAGAUGCUAUACAAUUAUUGGCGUGGUGGAGCAGAAAGCUAGCCCCUCUUUCAAUUUCCGACAUAAAAGCUGUGGGGACUCCUUUAAUUUCCAGCAUAAAAGCAUUCAAAUUGACAUUGACGUUAAGGGUAAAAAUAUUAAAUAUUUCAUGAGUCCGUCUACCGUGCAAUAGUUGCACGAUACCACACAAUGACACAAUUUUGUUUUUUUACAAAAAUUACACUAUACUAUUCUAUAUUUUAUAAGAAAAUUGAUUAGAUACUAUAAGUUACAAAUUUUUAUAUAUAGGUCAUUUUUUGAGAUAAAAUCAUAAAAUGACUUUUGAAAAAUAAUUUUACUGUUAUUAUUAUUAGAGUAAUGAUACAGUCACAAAUUCUUGUACAAAUUUAUUUUGUACAAACUGACAUGACAUUAAUUCAUUGGUAGAAUAAAAAUAUAAAAUAAUAAAAACAAAUCAUGUGGGCCAAGUGAUAUUUAAUUCAACCAAUCUUAUCAUGCCACAUAAGUUUGUACAAAAUAAAUUUGUACAAGAGUUUGUGGCUAUAUCAUUACUCUUAUUAUUAUUACUUAUUAGUGUCAUUAUUAUUAUAUUAAUAUUAAUAUUAAUAUUAUUAAAAUUUAUUAUUUUAAUUGUUAUGAUUGCUUUAAUUAGUCAUUAUUAUUAUUAUUUAUUGAUUUUAUUAUUGUCACUGUUAUUAAAAUAUAUUAAAUUUAUUAUUGAAUUAUUAUUAAAUAUUGUUAAUAUUAUUUUAUUAUAUUAAUAUUAAUAAAAUUUAUUAAUUUUAUUAUUCUAAUUAUUAUAUUAAUAUUAAUGUCGUCAUCGUCAUCAUCAUCAUUAAACUUUAUAAAUUUUUUUAUUUUGACUUUUAAGUAAUGCCACUGUCAUUAUUAUUAUUUUACCUUAAUUAAGCAUUAAAUAUAUUUUAAUUAUUUUUCAAAUUUUAUUAUAAUAAAUAAAAAUAUAAAAAUAAAUUAUACCGUAAUAUUAUUUUAUCAUAUCAUAUUAUAUUUAUUUAAAAAUAAUUAAUAUGAAAAUAAUAAUUUAAUAUAAUUAAUUAUAAAUUUAAAUAAUUUUAGUUUAAUAUUAGUACAAAAUUAAUGCAGUACAGGAUAAUACCAAUUACCAAAUGUUGUAUAAUAUUAUUAUAAUUAUUAUAAUAUACUGAUAAUGUAAUAUAAUAUAAUAUAACACAUGUUCAUUACAUAAUACAAUACAAUAUAAUAAAAUAUAGUGUGCCAAACGAAUCUUUAACGUUUUGAGUGAUAAUGGUCUAGAGGGAUGUAGAAAAAGUAAAGAUAAUCGUGGCAGAUCUUUUGCAAUGGUUGAUUAGCUAUCAUCACAAAGUUUAGGCUAAUACAAUAAAAAUUAAGCAACUACCCUAUAUUUAAAAGAACAUUUAGAAACCAAUAAAUUUACUAUUUAAUUAUUUUUAAUCAAGAAUAAAUAAUAAAUUAUCAUUACAACAAGAUUCAUAAGCUCAAAUAUCUUUAAAAAAUGAUAAUUCUAAAGAAAUAUGAAGCUCAAAUGCUUUUGAAAUAUUCUUAAAAAAAUAAACUAACUUCCUUUUAUAUUAUUCUUUGUUUAUCUUUCUAUAACUUUGUUGGGCUAUAUAUAUAUUGAUAUUUAAUAGGUAAAUUAACAUAUUGUAUGUAUAAAUAAACUAACAUGUCAACUAAUGCUAAAAACAAAAAUGUAAUAAAAAAGUAAAAUUUUGUAAUAUUAAAAUAAUAAAAUUUUACAACCUAAGACUUUUUACAUGUUUCUUAUUUUAAAAUUUCACUUUUUUUAUUUUAUAAUUUUCUAAAGUAUCAAGGUUAAUAACCUAUGUUCUUAAUACAUAUUCAGUUUAUUUAUUUUACAUUAAAUAUAUAUUAUAUAACAAAAAAUAUUAUUUACAUUAUCAAAUUUUCAUGUGUUUAAAAAUUUUAUGUGAUAUUACAUUAUUAUAUUUACACCAUCAAUCAUUUUUAUGAUCAAAUUAAGUCAAUGGAUCAAACUUUAAAAAAUUUAAGACAACAGAAGUUAUGUAAGUGAAUAUUUAAAAACUUUUAGCUUUUAUGAUUUUGUAAUAAACAGUAGGGACUUAAGUGUUAAUAACCAAUUGAACACAUUCUAGCCAUUGAUCCAUUGGCUGAGUUGAAAAAAAACAAAAUUUAGGGUACCGUGCAACUGUUGCACGGUAAGCGAACCCAUAUUUCAUAUAGUAUAAGAACAAUGCAAAAAUAAUUAGUAUAGAUUUUUAAAGGGAAUUGAUAUUAAUAUAUUAAUAGAUUAAUUAGUAAAUACAGAUUUAGAUAUACUAUUGUCCGCACUAAUUAUAAGAGCCUGCCGCUACUAUUCUUUGAUUAUCUUCAUUUUUUCCUAUAAGCUCGAGUGUUUUUUGUUUUAUUUAUUUAUUUGUUUUUGCCUAUUUUGUGUGGCUACUCUUUUAACUUUUUAAUACUAAAUUCUUAUCUUUGAAUGAAACUAGACUAACACUUCAAGUUCUGAGGUGAACUUGGUAGGCGGUACAAUCUAUUGCGGAAGCACAGGGUUGAGCAAUUACUAAUACUGUGACUUCUAGAGAAAUAUAAAUGUAGUGAUAAACAAAUGCAAAGAAAAUAUGACACAAUAAUUUACGUGGUUUUGCGUAAUGCCUACGUUCAUAGGUAAAAACUAGAAGAUAAUUUUACUAAUAAAUGGAAAUUUACAAAAGUGGAAAGAACUCAUAAAACCCACAACCCCAAUACACUCAAAUGAAAACUCACUAGUAGAAGCUCCCUCAAAUUCUCUCAAAGAGCUCACUUGCAAUUGCUCUCUACUUCUCACAAAUUGGGAUGCUUUACAAAUGCAUUAUACUCCUCUAUUUAUAGGCAAAGCUUACAAUAUGAAUGCAUGAAAAAAACUUUGGCCAUUUUCAAUUUUAAUGGCUUUGGUUUGACUUUUGGUGAAGAGAUCAACAUAGGUGUGCUUGAAAUUUGCAUGCUAGGAAUUUGUCUUCAAAUUUGCCUCUCCAAAGUUGAAUGCAUGCAUGUGUAUUUGAAUUCCAAUUUUGAAUUUUCAACAGUUCUCUACUUCGAUGAAGCUUUUAUUUAAAUCUGAGUCGACUAUCACCAAACCAUCCUCUAGUCUCUGUCUUCUCUAACUAUUUUCAAACUUGUAAGAUAUUGAUCAAGUUUAGAUCGUUGUCACCACCUUAGUCAACAUAUCUACGAGAUUCUAUGCAGUAUUGAUUUCUAAAGAAGAAUCUUCCCCUCAUCAACAAUUUCCUGUAAAAAAUGACAUCGUACGUCGAUGUGCUUCGUACGCGCAUGAUCAACUUGGUUUUUUGUUAAAUAAAUAGCACUUUGACUGUCACAAUACACAUUAAUGUGCUCCUAUGCAAAUCCCAAGUUUUCAAGCAAGCCUUGUAACAAAAUAGCCUCUUUAACAGCCUCUGUAAUUGCCAUGUACUAUGUGGUGGACAAUGCAACUGUAGACUAUAGUGUAGACUACCAAUUGAUUAGCCCUCUAGCAAAAGUAAAUACAUAUUCGGUGGUUAACCGUCGUUUGUCCAAAUUACCAGCAUAAUCAGAAUCAACGUACCGAAUCACACCUUGACCAAGUGUAUCGUCUCGCUCAAACAGUAAACCAACAUUUACAGUCUUCUGAAUGUACCAUAGAAUCCAUUUCACAGCUUGCCAAUGUCCUUUACUAGGAUUAUGCAUAUACCUACUCACUAUACCAACUACAUGUGAAAUGUCAGACCUUGUACAUACCAUUGCAUACAUCAAGCUACCCACUGCAUUUGAAUACGGAACUUGUAACAUGUAUUUUCGUUCCGCAUCUGUUGAAGGAGAUAAUUGUGCAAAAAACUUGAAAUGAGAAGCCAACGGAGUACUUACAGGUUUUUUCUGCUCAAUCAUGUCAAACUGCUAUAGUAUCUUCUUCAAAUAUUGCUUCUGAGACAAGCUUACUUUGCCACGAGCUCUAUCUCUGCAUAUCUCUAUGCCAAGAAUCUUCUUGCCUUCACCUAGAUCUUUCAUCUCAAACUCUUGAUUGAGUUGAGUCUUCAACUUAUCAAUCUCAUUUUUGCUCUUCGAUGCUAUUAACAUAUCAUCGACAUACAAUAGCAAAUAAAUGAAAGAUCCUUCGUUGUAAAGGUUUAUUGAUACCUCGAAGUUAAUUGUAAUCGGUUGAAGCCUCGGAAAGGCUUGGAUAGUGAAAUCCUCAAGCUUGGAUUGCUUGGAGGCGUGGACGUAGGCGGGAAUUGCCGAACCACAUAAAAAUCCGUGUGUUUGUUUCUCUUCUUCCUUACUCUUUAAUUAUUGUGCCUUUAUUAAACUUAUUGCUUUCAAUUUUUAUUAAGGCAUUAGAUUGUUUGUUGUGUGGAUUUGCUAGGAUAAUUUUUAAAUUUCCAAUUCACCCCCCUCUUGGGUUGCACACUUAUAUUUCAUAGUAUUCUGAUUGAAUGUAGGGAGAAGAGAAGAUACAACCAAGGGCAGAGAUCCAGUCUCUAUGCCUUAGAGGAAUGUAGCAGGUUUUAUUAAAAACUUUAAAUAAAUUACAGAAAUUUAAACAUACAACUGAACUUUAAGUUACAAAUUUGAAAUUACAAAUUGAACUUUAAAACUUACAAAUUAAAUUGCUUGUAUCCUCAAAUCUUUAUAAAAAAAAAGAAGAUUUAUUACAGAAGGAAACAGAUGGGAAUAUAUUUAAGACAGAAAAAUUUCCUUGAUGUCUUAAGAUUCCCAGAAGUUUUACAAGAAGAAGAAAAGAAAAUUUCUUUUUGAGAGAGUGAUUUGCCUUUGAGAACUUCUUCGGAAAAAAACCCUGCCUUCUUCCUUUCUUUAGUCUUCUUAAAUAGAAACUUUGGACGACAUGUUACUAUUGGUUCACAUGCGUGGUUGGUGGAGCGGGACCUCCUUGACAUGUGGGGGACAGCAUCAUUUGGAAUGGGCCUUCUUUAUGACUUUAGCUUUGAAAACGUGUCGUCAUAGCUUUCUGAUACCAAUCGAUAAAGGAAGAUAGCUGUCAAUGCUUUUACAAAAAAAGAAAAUUACAACUUAUUUACAGAAAGGGAAAUUACAACAAUAAAUUUAAAUUACAGCUGAUUUACAAUAAAAUUGCAGAAUAAGAAAAUUACGACUAAAAUAUAAAAUUACUUUUUUUUUAAAAGUGCUUUACAAGAGAUAAGAUUCUGAAGCAAUCAUCCUCGUUGUCGUCUCCUAGGGAAAUAAAGGGCUUAGCACUCUCGUGAUCUGAAGAGCUGGCAACAGAUGGCUCUGAUCUGGAGGCGAGGAGCUGCUGCAAGACUUUAUAUAUAUAUAUAUAUAUAUAUAUAUAUAUAUGGCUAACACUAUGUUACGUUGAAUGUAACAUACACUCAAAAGUAAAAAUAUCUAUUAGCACCCUUACAUUUUAUGGAAACUACAUUAAUCGAAUUAAAAGAGAUACUUUUAAAUCUUAAAGAAGAAAUGAGAGAAAUUAAACAAGAAAUAGGAAAGAUAAAAAUAGAAUUAUCAACAAUUCAGAUAAGCCGAAAGAAAAAUAAAAAAGUUGAGAAACUUGAAAUAAUAAAAUCAGGAAUAAUAGGGACAAGCAUUGAAAAACAUAUGACAAAACCUCAACCAGGAAGUUAUGAUGAUUGGUUUAUAAAAACCCAGUAUCCAAAAAUAUUAGAGGAAUCAGAAAAGUUAAAAGCAGAAUUAAAAAGAGAAGAAAAAGGAAAAGAAAAAUUAGAGAUAAAAGAAAACACACCUAGUGAUACAGAAUAAUGGAAAAUACAUUAGAAGAAUUAACAGAAAAAUUUAGUGAUAUUAACCUUAGUGAUUUAGAAGAAUUUGAAAAAGAAUACCAAAUAAAGAUGAAUGUCGCUGGAGGUCCAGAAUUAAAACCUGAUAUUGGAGAACCUAGCCAUAGAUAUGAAACAAAUAAAAAGAAAAAUAGACCAUUUUAUGAAUACUAUCCGCCCGUUAAAAAUACUCCUUGGAAAAAAGAUUACCAACCUAAUAAUGACCAUUUGAUGCCAAUAAGCAAUGCAGGUACAUUUUUAGACUUAGAUUGUAAAAUAGACCCCCGAAAAGCUUUAGUAGAAUGGGGAAUGCAAAUGAAAUUAUUUUUUAUAUUCAAUGGAUCCAAGGAUGAUUGGAAUGUAGAAACCGAAGAAGAAAAAAUAAAUAUAUUAACAGAUAUUCUAAUAGCAAGUUUUACAGGAAAUGUAUUUAAUUGGUGGAAAGGAUUAAGUGACGAUACACAAAAAUUAAUAAAAGACUCAACCAAAAUAGCAUUAGGAAAAGAUAAAGGAUUAGGUAUAGAAAGAAUAAUCGAAUACAUUGCUAGUGAAUUCUUAGGAGAAGAUUGGUUACAAAAUACAGAAAAUGAAGCAAAAUAUGAUAAAUUAAAUGCUAGAAUGAAAUUAAUAAACCUAACAAUUUGUAAUAUGUGUUUUGUAAAAGAAUAUACAUGUGAAUUUAGUAAAUAUUAUUAUACACAAUUCAUGAGUCAUGAAGACCAGAACAUUUAUAAAAAUUUGUAUUACUCUAAAUUACCUUAUCCAUGGAAUUGAUAUUUCAUAAAUGAAUAUGAAAAACAUACUAAUAAAAGUGAUAGUAGAAUCCCAGAUACAUUAGGAUCUAGGAUUAGAUUUUUAAAUACAAGAUUAAGUGAAAUUUGUAUCCAAAGAAGUUUAAUAAAAAAGAGUAAAAAUAUAACAAAAAUAUGUUGUGAAAAGACAGAAAUGCCUACCCAAUGGGGAUGUUAUGUACCUCAUAAAAAACGCAGAAAAUCUUAUAAUAAAGAAAAGAGAUAUAAAAAAUAUAAUAAUUUUAAGAAAAAAUAUAAAAAAUCAGGAAGAAAAUAUUAUAAAAGAAAAUAUAAAAACCAAAGAAAAAUAUUAGAUAANNNNNNNNNNNNNNNNNNNNNNNNNNNNNNNNNNNNNNNNNNNNNNNNNNNNNNNNNNNNNNNNNNNNNNNNNNNNNNNNNNNNNNNNNNNNNNNNNNNNNNNNNNNNNNNNNNNNNNNNNNNNNNNNNNNNNNNNNNNNNNNNNNNNNNNNNNNNNNNNNNNNNNNNNNNNNNNNNNNNNNNNNNNNNNNNNNNNNNNNNNNNNNNNNNNNNNNNNNNNNNNNNNNNNNNNNNNNNNNNNNNNNNNNGAAAAUAAAAGUGGAUACAGCCUUGUUGCCACUUUUAACAAAGAAAAAUAUAAUAAACUUUUAAAAUUAAAUAUGGAAAAACCAGAAUAUGGAAUAAUCCAUAGAUUUAGAGAUAUGUUUAAGAGAAAACGAAUAAUAUUACAUGAAUAUUAUGAAUAAGAAAAAGCUGUGACAAUUACACAAGCUGAAGGAAACAUUAGAUUUAGUUUAAUAAAUAAAAGAUCCAUAGAAUUAGCACUGAGAAAAAUAAAAAAUGAGUCAACCAAAGAAAAAAUUCAAUAUGUAUAUCUCGCUGAGAUACAAAUUUUAAUAAAAUCUCUUUUUAAAGAAGGAAUAGAUAGCCCUAUAGUUUUAUCAUUACAUGAUCAAAGAUUUACAGAUCCUAAUAUAGGACAUCUUGGAACAAUAGAAGGAAAUUUAUGUUAUACUAAAUUAUUAUUUACUUGUCACCCUAGAUAUUGUGUACACAUUAAAGAUAAAAACAUAGACGAGACAUUAAGCUUACAUUUUAAGUUAUUAAAGAAAAAUUUAAUGAAAGAAGGCAAUAGAAUAAUGACAAUACAUUACUCAGCCUUAUAUAGUUUCUGUAAUUCAAAUUACGGAGAAAUAUAUGGUAAUAAACCUUACAUCGAGAUAAAUAAAGAUUGUGAAGAUAUUGCAACAUUUAUAGAACCAGUAAUCCAAGAUUACAAAAUCCCUAUAAAUUAUGAAUUAAAUAUCGAUGAUAAAAAACAAUUUUUAAAUAAUAGUAAUGAAAAUUCCAUUAUUCCUAUAAGUUUUGCUGGAAGAACCUUAAUAAGAGGAAGUUCUUCUAGAAAAUUAAACACUGAUAAACAAAUAAUUAAAUCAGUACCAACAAAUAAUGUGGUAAAAAUACUUGGACAAUACUUUAAUGGAAUAGAUUACACAGCAAAAGUACCUAUACUAUUAGACACUGGCACAAGCCAUAAUUACAUGAAUCACACAAAAAAUAAAGGACUCUUAGUAAAAGAAAAGGAAGUUCCAUAUGAGUAUACUGACUUCAAUGGGAAUAAACAUAUUUGUAAACAAGAAGUUAAAGUCCCCAUAAUAAUAGAAGGACUUAGAAUAAUAGUAGCCUGUUAUAUAGACUCAUUCAUGACUACAGACCCAAAAAAACAUAUAGUACUAGGUAAUAGUUUUUUAAAUAAUUUAGAAUAUUACAAAAUUGAACCUAAUAAGAUAACUUUCUUAAUCCAAGGCCAAACAAUAAUUUGCUACACAUGUUAAAACAAGCUUAUAUAAAGUACCCUAUGUCUGUAUAUAUACAAAUAAAUAUAACAGAAAAAGAUAUAGAUACUUGUGCUUUAAUAGACACUGGUAGUGAAAUAACUAUUAUGAAAUCCUUUUUAUCUAAUAAAUGGGAAUCAAAUGGAAAAUUGAAAAUUAUUGGUAUUACCGGAGAUAAACAACAUGUAAAUCAAUCUAUUCUAAAUUUUGAAAUCUUACUAGGGAGUAAAAUAGUACGUAUUAAUCAAAUCUUCCAAUACAAUGGUAUGGAUUGUGAUAUCCUUUUAGGAAAUGAUUUCAUACAACAGUUCCAAUAUUACCAACAAACACCUUAUAUGAUCACUUUAAAAACCCCUUGUAAUCAUAUUCUCCGCAUCCCUCGCGAAUUCAAACCCUACAGAGUUCAGCCAGCCCAGCGUGGUGAUAAGUAUAUUUAUGAGAAACAUUAUUUAAUACAAAAAGGACAAAGUUAUAAUAUACAAUUAGAAACAAUAAAAUCACAGCUUGAGCAAGUUUAUAAAGAAAAUCCUUUAGCAUUAUGGAAACCAGAUCAUCCUAGAGCAAAAAUAGAAUUAAUUGAAAAUAGGAUUAUAAGACUAAAACCUAUGAUGUAUACAGAAGAAGAUAGAGAAGAAUUUAAAAUUCAAAUAAAAGAAUUAUUAAAUUUAAAACUUAUUAGAAGUAGUAAUAGUCCGCAUAAUAGUCCAGCUUUUAUGGUUAGGAAAAGAGCAGAACAGGUUAGAGGAAAAGCAAGAAUGGUAAUAAACUACAAAGAACUAAAUAAAUAUACAAAAUUUGAUGGAUAUUUUCUCCCAAAUAAGGAAGUACUAAUAAAUCUUAUAAAAAAUAAAACAUAUUACUCAAAAUUUGAUUGUAAGUCAGGAUUUUGGCAAAUAAAAAUGGAAAAUAAUAGUAUCCCUUACACAGCCUUUAGUACCCCAUAAGGUCAUUAUGAAUGGUUAGUAAUGCCCUUUGGAUUAAAAAAUGCUCCACAAAUUUUUCAAAGUAGGAUGGAUAAAAUAUUUAGAGACUACAAUUACAUUAUAGUCUAUGUUGAUGAUAUAUUGAUAGCUUCAGAAACAAUAGAGGAACAUAGACACCAUUUGAAAGAAUUUGCUAAUACAUGUAUUAGAGAAGGGAUAGUACUGUCUAGUAAAAAAGCAGUAAUAGAGCAUAAGAAAAUAGAAUUUUUAGGAAUGAUACUUGACAAACAAGGAAUCAAACUCCAGAGCCAUAUAGGAAGAAAAAUAAUUGAGUUUCCAGAUAAAUUAGAAAAUAAACAACAAAUACAAAAAUUCUUGGGAUGUUUAAAUUAUGCAGAAGGAUUUAUAAAAGACCUAUCAAAAAAGAGAAAUAUACUCCAAAAAUUAUUAAGAAAAAAUAAUACUAGAGGAUGGAAUGAGGAACAUACAGAAACUGUAAAAAAUUUAAAAGAAGAAUGUAAAAACCUUCCAACUUUAAGACUACCAGAUGAAAAAGAUAGAUUAGUAAUACAAACAGAUGCGUCUGACUUAUAUUGGGGAGCAAUACUUAAAACCGAUAUAAAUGAAAUUUGUCGAUACACUAGUGGAACGUUUAACCAAGCUCAGGUUAAUUAUCCUGUACAUGAAAAAGAACUCCUUGCAAUAUACAAAGGAAUUAAAAAAUUCUCAUUAUUUUUACUCCAAAAACAAUUUAUUGUAGAAACUGAUAAUUCUCAGGUAAAUGCUCUUAUUAAUAGGAUUUUACCAAAUGAACCCCAGUAUAGAAGAUUGCAUAGAUGGCAAGUUUAUCUGUCAUAUUAUAAUUUCAAAAUUGUCCAUAUAAAAGGAAUUAACAAUUUCCUUGCAGAUUUCCUGAGCAGGAACAUAGAAUUUGGAGAAUGAAUCCCGAAGUAAAUAGAAUCAUCGGGAAAAUAGAAGCUGAGGUACAAAGGCUCAAAACAGAAGCAUCUGACAUAAUUGAUGCAAUAAACUAUUUAAAAGAAGCAUCUGAGGCUCAUGAAAAAGGAGUAAAUUUGUUAGAGUCAUACAUAGACGACCUAACAAAAGCUCUCUCUAUAAACACGAGCCCGAUAAACAUUAACCCAAUAAAUAUUGGAAGCAGUAGUGGACCCUACAGAGAAGAUAAACCAAUCUCUGAUCCAGUUCCAAAUAAAAUCAUAUCUAUAGAAGUCCAGUCUCCGAAAUCAAAUCCUCCAAAAAAGUUCAUAGAAAUAAACAACCCUUAUACAGAAGAAGAGGAGAAACCCCUGAAUUCAAAAGAAGAAGAAUAUAAACAAUUCUCCACAUGGGUGUACUCCACUUGUUCCCACAAUAAUACAAUUUUCAAGGCACCAGGAAAAAAUAUGUAUCCAAGAAUGAUUGCUACAAAAGGAGCAGAUCCACUCCUUGUUGGAAAGAUAGCAAAAUAUGGAUAUUUAGAUUUAGUAUAUCCAGAUAUAAAUCUUCAGGAAAUAGCCAGCCUUGAUGACUUAUUAAUAAAAGAAGUAUCAAGGUUCGCCCAAAAAAGACCCAUAUAUCUAAAAUUCUACACCAUAAGUCCAGAAUACUAUCAGAACGUAGAAUAUCAAGCCUUUUAUAUGAUCUCUAUAGGUCAUCUCACUAAGAAUUUCAAGGUCGAAGUUGGGACAGACUACACAAAUGUUCCACACAUAAAUGAACCUUGGAUCAGAACACGAAGAGCCAGAGGAAUAAAAGCCAUAUGGAGCAUAGCCAAGGAUCUAUGCAAAAGAAAUUUCAGAACCAUCAUCAAAUUCCAGAACUAUAUUCUCAUAACCUCUGAAGACAUUCAUACACCAUCAAAUCUGUUAUUAGAUUUCAUCAAUGAAAUAAGCACUAUGCGUUUCCCCAGUAGCAGCAAAACUAUGGAUCAAGCUUAUCAACUCAUGGAAGUGGCAGACAACAUAAAGAAGAUGCCCGACAAGAUAAAGCAGACAGCAUAAACAAAGAUGCCCGACAAGAUAAGGAAGAUGGCAGGCAACAAAAAGAAAAGAUGCUAAAGUUAAAAGUAAGUGAUAUGUAACGUUAGCAAUGACGUAAGAAGCCCAAUCAUAGAAGGGCAAUAAUGUAAUAGAACGUAGGCAAUAAUGUAAAAGGCCCGAACAUAUGAGGGCAAGAAUGUAAUUUUUUUUAUAUAAAUAAAGGAAAAAAGAAGAAAGGCUCUCAGAGCUUCGAUUACGAAAAUCUUUUCCAAAAAAUUCUCUCAAAAAUGAAUAACUAAACAACUCUUCAGCUCAGAAUCCAGAAUCAAGCCAUCAGAAAUCAUAAAUAAAACAACACCAAAGAAAGGAAAGAGAAACCUAAAUUUGUUCAAAGUUUCCAAGCAUAACGAUCAAAAUCCAUACAGUAAGGCCGCUCGAGUCCGCUGAUCCCGUUGAGGCAAGGAGGCCAUUGAGGGAAUAAGGACAACCAGGCUGCAGGUCACUGGAAGAGGAUCGGAAGGCAAAGAAAUAAGAACAACUCAGGUAAUAAUUCUCAAACCUUAUCUAUUGGUGGAAGUUUGUUGAUGAUUGAUGAUGAGGAGAUUUAUGGAGGAAGAGCUAAUUUAAACAUGAAUAACGAUAUUUUACUUGGGAAUUCUAAAGAAUAUAUGAUAAACUCUACCACUAGAAUAACAUAUAAUGAUUAUAUGAUGAUAAUAGACUUUAACUUAGGAUCUUUUAAACAAAGCUCAUAUCUUUUAAGUAAAGAAGAGCUAGUUAGAACAGAAGAUCUACAAGCAGUAUAUACUCUUAAUUUACCAAAAGAAAUAAAAAGAAAAAUUAUAAACCAUAUCGAAAUAGAUAAUUUAAAGCAUAAUAUAAUUAUGUUAACAAUAGAGCAAGGAAUUGACAUAACUUUAGCAUAUAUAGAACAUGAAAUUCGAGAAAUCGGACCAUCAUACAUAAAUUACGUAGAAAAUUCAGAUAACGAAGAACUUGAAAUGUAGGAAUUUAAAAUAAAACAAAUAAACUGAUUAUAAGGUAUAUCGGCAAGCAACCCAUGACGUAAAUUGGAUAGACGAUUCCUAUUGGGCGUUAGUAUCCUCUGCACUUUGGGAUAACAAGCCACAUCCCUGUAAUCAGAAUAUUUUGUAAAUAUAGAUACUCAAAGGGAAAUUAGAUACUAUUUUAGUAUAAUAAAUAAUAAUAUAUACUUUAUACAGAUUGAAUUAUUUUAUGAUAUGACUAAUAAUCCUGCAUAUAUUUUAGAAACUAAUAAUAAUUAUUAUGAUUUUUAUUUUCCUAGUCUUCUUAAUAAUAUACCUAGGGUAAUAGAAGGAGAACCAGUUAUUACCUUAUAUGUAAGAAAUAAUAGUAAUAGAAGUUACGAUAUGUAUACCUUAUAAAAUAAAAAAUUCAGCAAUAUUGUUUAUUGUUUUAUAUUUUUUAUUUAUAUUUUAGUUUUCUGUAAUUCUUUAUUUUAUUAUUUUUAUUCGUUUUUUCAAUUGUUUAAUUUUUUGUUACUUUUUUGUUACUUUUUUAGCACACACGAUGUAAAAUGGUAUCAGAGCCAUAAGAACAAAAUGGUGGACCCUAUACAAUCAAUAGUUGAUAGUUUGUAUACAUUAAAGGUAUAUAAUAAAGAAGAAAUAAAGAAUUUGGUAAAAGCUUUAAAAACUGAUAAAAAUAAUAUAAGAAACAUAGAAAUUGAAUUAACUGAGGAACUUAUAGAAAGAAACAUAGAUACCACAGGAGGAGAAAUAUUGAUAGAAAAGAAAAUGAAAUUUAUUGAUAAAUUUAUACAAUUUUUAAUAUAUUGGUAUAAAACUGAAACAUUAUGAAUCAAGCAGUUAAUACAAUACAGGAAUUAAUAAAUAGUACAGAACGUAUGCAUUUAGGAUGGGAAAAUAUAGUAAGUACAUAUAUAAAUUUAAUAAAUCAAAAAAUAGAUUUAUUAGAGCAAGAAAGAAUAGGUUUAAUAAAUUUAGGACCAGAAAUAUAUUCUGAAUUCAUAGAUCUAUAUGAGUUUGAUAAUCAUUUGUUGUUAUUAAAAGAAAUAAAUACAACUCUAGAAAGGAUAAAAAAUAGGUGUAGAAGAGAUGGAAGGAGACAAAUACUCCCUCAAUUAUAGAAAAUAAAGAAACAUUAAGGGACUCAAAUGAAAUUUACCAAGAAGAAUAAAACAAAAAACGUAAGAUACAUUGAUCGUAACUUAUGCGCUCCCAUAUAUAUAUAUAUUAAACUGGUAAAAGGUUGGAUAAAAUUUUAAAAAAAAUAGUUUUCUAAUUUUUUUUAUCUUUUUUGCAAUUCGAAUUUUAAACACAUAAAGUUAACUCAAUAAACCUUCUUCAGAGGCUGAUUAAAUUCUUGGUAAUUUCAUAUAAUUUCAUUUCAUCAGAUCAAUUUCCCAAAAGCAAUUUUAUAAAUGGUUGUCGAAAGCUUUAUUCCUUAAUUAUCUUUCACGUAUUUUCUUUGUAAUAUGAGGCGAGUCCAUAGACCAUAGUAUGAUAUUUAUUGUAAUUAAAAUCAUUAUGGAACGGAUUUUAUUCUUUUUUCUCAAACAAAGUAUGUAACUGCAGAUGUAAUAAAUUACUAAUUACCAUUUUUUGAGUCGCAUUCUUUGAAUUAGAUCUUGGAGUUUCAAAUGACCAAAUGAAUUAGUGAGAUAAUGGCUUUUGCUUUUGUCUACCUGAUAAUAAAAGUUGUCUGCCAUAUAGACAAGAAAUGGAUCGGAUCCACACGCUGUAGCUAAAUUAAAAAAUUUAUACGGAGUUUUAUUGUAAGACAUUUUUAUCUGAAUAGAAAAAGUAAAAUUCUUCACUUUUAUCCGAAUGAUAAAAAUAUUUGAAUGGAAAAUCAGUUUUCUUCUCACAAAUACCCUCAUUAAAUAUAUUUAUUUCCUACUUAGUUAUUAGAUGGCAUAUUGGUAUUUCCCUUGAUCUCAGAUUUUACUUGGUAUUAAAUACUUAGCAUGCAUGCGUUUAAUUGGAAUUUUAAACAAAUUCUUUUGUUAUUAGAUAACAACUUUUUUUGUAUAAAUAUUAUGCUAAAUUGUAAAACAUAAUGUUAUCAAAAUUAUUUUUCAUAAACUUUAUAUCAAAUGCUUCCCCUAUAAAUAUUUAUAACAUAUAAAAACUAUUGUACUAGAUAAUACUGAAAAUAUAAACCUAUUUAAAACUUCAAGUACAUACACUACUUUCAAGGUCACAAGAGUAAAAAUAUUAGAUUUGAGAUGUUUUGAAUUUGUAAAAACAAGCAUAUUAAUCUGAAUAUGCAUUCAAACUUAUUCAUACUUCAGUAACAUUCAAACUUGUUUAGAUUUCAAAUAUAAAAAAAAGUCACCUAAUAGUUGGGGAUAUAUAUUUGUGGGGAAUGAAAAAUACAGAUAAUUGCAAUAAUAAAGGUGAAACUUUAUUAUAAAAAAAUGCAUUUACAACUUUAUAGGUACUAAAAAAUAUAAUAGCAAUAGGUAAACUAUAGAAAAUUAAUGUGUAUAACAAAACACGUUACACAUGUCACUUUCCUUAAUAAGGGAUGUUCUAUUCUAGAAGAACCCUAUAGAGGAGAAGACUAGCAUAAGAUAUCUCGUUCACCACUUCUAGUUGCAAAUUCUCGAACAGUUGCAAUUACUAUCCCCUGUAGGUAUUUUCUGCUCCUCCUCUGUUUUACUUCAUUGUCACUUGUAAUGAAAUUAAUAAUGAUGAUCAUGAUGAUUAUAUUUUGAAAUUAACUUUCUAUAUUUUUUCCAAUGUCUCGCAGGAAUAUGCAAUACUUUCUAAUAACUAUUUACUUUAACCAUUAAUUUUUUUUUAAGUAUACGAUAAUUAAUUUGUUACGUGGAACUUCCCGAGAGACAGAAUUUUUGUGAUGCUUUGUAGUAGUGUUGAGCUUAAUAAUAAUAUAAUAAUAAUCAGUACUAGUAAUAUUUAAUAUUUGGAAUUAAAGUUCUAUGAAAAUGUCUGCUGGUAAUUCACUUGCUUUNNNNNNNNNNNNNNNNNNNNNNNNNNNNNNNNNNNNNNNNNNNNNNNNNNNNNNNNNNNNNNNNNNNNNNNNNNNNNNNNNNNNNNNNNNNNNNNNNNNNUGAGAGCUUGAAGUCUCUUGAGAGAGAGAGAAUCGUUAUCCUUCCAAUAUUUGUAAGCUCUCACUUGUUAGUAAAAUCAUCUUCGUACAUUGAUUCUACUUUUUAUUAAAAUCAUCGUCAAGGUUUUGAGUAAGUCUUUGCAGUGAAGUUUCCACCACGUGCAAUUGCCGCGAAGAGGCAUAUACAUUUGAGUAAUUCAGUUUUCGAUUUUCAAGGCGUGUAUAUCUAAUUAGUUUCGAUUAAAAUAUUUAGUCACUCAUUCUGAAUCUUUUCUACUUUUCAAGUUCCUCAGGGCCACAGCCAGUUUUUCAAAUCUGCAUGUAGCUGCAAAAGGAUUGAUGGCCAUAAAAUUAUCUUCAGCCUUGAGGCAUUGCGUUUGAGCGCACACAGAAACCGAGCCAAGGGAAAAGAGCUUGGAAGUACAAGAUAAUAUUGAAAAAGUAUAUUUUUACUUCUUGUGGCUAUUUUACUUUUGCUCUACCGUCAGCAUAUUUGAUUAAUUCGUUCGAAUUCACACAUUCACUCAUUAUUUAAAACCAUUUUCAGGUGGCUUGCAAGCUAAAUAAGUUAUGCAAAAAAAAUACUCUAGACAAAUAUGAGGAAAUUGAAGGUGAUAAAUGCAUAGAUAGUUAACAAGUCGCUUAUUCUACUUCAUUCCUUAUAUGAUUCUGGAUUUGAAUUUCCACAACUAAUUGUUGGGCUGGUGCAGAUUUUCUUAAAAGGGCCACUAAGCUACGUUCUGAAAUUGGAAAGUUAUUAUUGCUUGAAAGGAAGAUUGAGGAGUUGAUAAGGUGUAAGAUUGCUAAGGUGCAUUUCUGAAAAACCUCUUCUCUUCUCACAUGUUUCAAUGUUGGUUGUAAUAACAAUUUCAUCUCUCAGGUAAUCAUUUUCAAGGUUUUGGAAAAGCUUUUGCAGUAAAGUUUUAAAUUAAGCUUGUACAAUGGCUGUGAAGAGGCAUAUUCAAUUCAAUACGUUUUGGUAUGAUCUCCAUAUGCUAGUACCAUAUGUGUAUAUUUAAUUGCAAUUAAAAUGGUUUAAUCUCCCAUCCUUAAUCUUUUAUGAUAUUCUACAGAAGAUUAACGGUGACAAUUAUUCUUCAAGUAUGCUAUCUUAAUUUACAAUAAAUCAUGAGUACUCGUGCAGAAAGUUUUAUAUAUUAGCUAUAUGGGAAUGAAAUUUUAAGAAUCAUAUCGAUCUUUAAUUUUUGGUAAUUCUCCUUUAUUUGCUUCUACAAAGUGCCUGUCUUGGCUGCUUUGUCUAAUUCGUGGAAAUUCGUUUUCAUUGCUUCGAGCACAAACAAGACUAGCGAGCUCUGGGGAAAUGUAUUCUACUUCUAGUAUUAUGCCUUUUUUUUCUUCGUUCAUAAUAUAUAUUUGUUUGACUUCAUGCUCUCAUUCAGAUUAUAAAGCAAUUUGUUAGACCAAUAAAACUUAUGUUAGGCGCAAAUAUAAAGGGGUAGGGACAUUCAGUAAUUAUAGCGGUAGGGGCAGUUUAAUAAUUUUAUUUAUUUGUUAAUUAGUUCUCAAGUAUAAAUAAGAGAUUAAAAGGAGUCAUUUAGGGUUUAUGUUGAGUUUUGUCCAGUGCUCGGAAUAAUUAGGAGUUUUGGGAGAGAUUGACCUAUCUCUCGAAUUGUAGGCUAUGAUUGUUCUUUCUUUUGAUUCAAUCAAUAAAAGUUAGCCCUAAUUUAGCCUUAAGUCCUAUCAAAGUGGUAUUAGAGCAAAAAUCCAGGGACAAUGGUAGCAAAGAAGUGGACGCGCUUGAAGAGAAAUUGGAAGCAAAGGUUGGAUCACUCAAGGCCACCAUUGAUGAGCGAUUUAACAUCGUUCAACAACAAUUUUCACCCCUUGAAGCCAUGUUGCUGAAAUUGACAGAACUCCACCUUAACCCACCACUGGCAACAUUGAUGGGCGGCAACGGUGUCACAGGAGAAAGAUCUGGUGGUACAGAACCCAUAGUCGAUGGCAGCACAAAGGGCAGAGGACUGAAAACCACCAGUCUAGCACAACCAGGGGGGACAGGUCACAUCGAAUUUCGAGGCGAGGAGGUCGGCCCAAGGGAAUCGCGGCUUGAAGGAGCCUUUUCCGGUGUCAAAGGUGGCAGAAGAAGCUGGGUCGUAGCUAGGGGUAAUGGAUCUGAGGAUUACGUGGCUGAAAGAGGUGGCUGAAAGAGGUGGCUAGAUUAGUGAAUUCAAGGGUUACACGGCUGGAGGAGGUGGCUGAAAGUUAAGAAUCAGCGUUUUGGCACCAGAAUAAGGUGCGCAAGAGUCGAAGAUGGUUGGGCUUGACGACUCAAUGGUAUUUGCGAGUGAUGCACAACUUGGGCAAGGCUAUUUUGGGCCUGGAUAGAUCAGGUAGGGUUGCGUUGGGCGAAGGCAAGGCGAUUUUGGGUCUGGAUAGUUUGGAUUUAGGGCCGGAUUGGCAGGAAGAGGGGUUUUUGAUGUGAGAGAAAGCGGUUUUUACCAUAAAACAAUUGGGCAAGGGAUUUCAGCCUAAUAUGGGGCUAGACAAGGAGAAUUUGGGGCUGAGUCUCAGGAUUUGUGAAAUUGAAGUAGAUUCGAGAGGUUAGAGGCCUCUAAUAGUGCGAAAUCGGGCGGGACAGACUCAAUUUGGGGUAGAUUCUAGGGUAAGGAAACUGAUAAUGCCUAUUUUUUAAGGCGAGGAUGCCUAUGGAUGGAUGUAUAAGAUAGAGCACUCUUUCGCCAUCAAUGGACUCUUCAAAAGGAAAAAGCUGACGGUGGCCGCGUUAUGCUUGGAGAGAAAGGCCCUUGCAUGGUUUCAAUGGCGAGAACAAUGACAACCAUUGAUUUAUAGGGUGAAUUCAAGGACCGACUAUUAGAAAAGCUUCAGGCCACUCAAAAGGGAGAUUUGUAUGAAUAGUUUUUUGCUCUGACCUAGGAAAGACCAAUCAUGGAGUAUAAGGAGAAGUUUGAGUUGCUAUCAGGGUAUUUGGGGGAAUCCAAGAGGCAGUAUUGGAAGGGAAUUUUAUGAAGGAACUGAAGCCAAAAAUCUGAGCUCACUACACUUGUUAGGGUAGAGAGGGUUAGAGGAGUCAAUGGAGCUGGCAUAGACGAUUAAUGAUAAGAACACAAUAGAACGGGGUAAUAUGAACAAUUUAGUCUGUUUUUCAUACUAAAAAAGAACACCAUUGAUAGACAGAAAACCCAAACUUUGGGGUUUCAGCCAAAGUUCCAAAGCACACCAUUAGAAGGCUAAAAAAAUGCAAAUGAUAGGGUUAUAAAGAGAUUCCUAAAGGGGUCGGGUUAGUUGGGCACGACUAGGGGUGACUUUUAAAUGCCUCACAGAGAUAGAGAUUCAAGAUAAGAGGACAAUGAGGUUGUUUUUUCGAUGCGAUGAGAAAUUUUCAUCGAGUCAUCAAUGUAAGGAUAAAUCACUAUAAGUCCUAACUACGUGUGAUGAGAAGGAAGGUAGGGAAGAAGCCAAGGAAGAAAAAGCAGCAGUUUCCUUGAUUUCACCUUGAAGACGAGGUGUAUUUUUAAGAAAGAAGUAAUGUUAGCCGCAAAUAUAAAGGGUGGGAAGAACUUAGUAAUUUUAGGGAUAGGGUUAGUUUAGUAAUUUUAUUUAUUGUUAAUUUUAGCUCGGGUAUAAAUAAGAGAUUAAGGAGUCAUUUAGGAUUUAUGUUGAGUUUUGUCUAGUGGUAUGAAUAAUUAGGAGUUUUGGGAGAGGUAGGUCAGGAUUGUUCUUUAUUUUGAUCUAAUCAAUAAAAGUCAGCCCUAAUUUAGCCUAAAGUCCUAUCACAAUUUCCAGGCAGAAUUAAAGAAGGUAUUGUUAAAAGGGCAUUUAGCUUCCCUAUGUUCGAACAUGGACCUACAGAGAAUAAAAUUGACCAAUUGAUAACAUUAGUUCGGUUAGGAGGUUACUUAGACUCAGUCUGACAUUCAUACUAUGUAUCUUCGAAUGUCCAAUACAUUCAGACUAUGUAUCUUCGAAUGUCCAAUGUAUUGGUAUCCUUUCCACCUUUCUUCUUCGAUUUUGGGUUGAUUUCAGUUUUGAUCUCUGCUUGUUUAUUAUUCCAGCUUUUCUUCCAAAUCAAAUGGUGCUCUAUUUGUCAAAAAAUUUUGCGUUGUUCUAUCCUUGCUUUGACAAUGCUAAAUGCAUUUUGUCUCUUUCCUUUCUAACAAAAACAUAUAAAGGACAUCACAUCCUACUUUUGUUGUGAAAACUUUUGCAAAUUUUGGACUGUCUCAAAGGAAAGCGAAGAAUACAACAAACAUCUAACUCCAUUUUGAUGUUGGCCUAAUUAUAAACUGAACUUCAUUAUUAAGUAAAAUACACACGUAGAUAUUAAGUAAAAUACACACGUAGAUAAGGCAAGAGCAAAGCUCAUUACAAUGGGAUAUUCACCACCCAAUGAUGUCUUACAAGAGAUACAAGGCUCUCUAACUUACCAAAGCUCACCAUUUAAGAGGAUUACAAAAGGAUAUAGAUAUUCACCAUCUAAUGAUAUCCUAUAAGAGAUACCGCACUUCUCAACUCACCACUCUAAGGAAUCGAACCAAGAGAUAUAGAGUUGCAUGAAGAAACCCUAACAAGAGCACUCUUCUAAGUUACAUUAUCAUAAUCACCCUGUUUUGUAAAGUUACAAUGUAAUACUUUUUUGUAUAGACAACUUGGAACAUCCCUCCGAGCUUAGGAUAAGAUCUCUAUCAUUUAGAAUUCAAAUCAACUUUGAAUAACAGGUCUUAGCUAUCAUGAGGUAAAAGAAAACAAAGCAAAAUACAAUUUGACAUCAAGGCCAAUUUCAACCGCAAGUGUAAGCAGUCAACACUCGUUUAAUCAUAUCUUGAUGUAGAAAACUCCAAAUAAAACAUGUAAAAUUCAUUGAACUCUUGACUGAAAAGCUUUUCACUGAUUUGAAGCUUUUUAAUUAGAUCUUGAUGCAUUAAUGUCAGUAAAUUCAAAACUUUUUUGCUAUGUGUAGAAUUUCUAACAGUUGUGAUCUUCAUUGACAAAGUCAUGAAUUUCUUUAAGAACAGAAGUUUGAAUUUAAUUCCAUAAAAUUCUUCAAAAACUAGACAUAUUCACCUUUCUAACAAUAUAUAUUUUAUACGUAAUUAAUUAUGUCUAGAAAAAUACAAUCAAUGGAAACAAUUGGAGUCAUAAUCUUGGAUUGUACUUGUCUCUUGGACUAAAUCUAAAACACGCUUGUGUCACAUUUACGGCUUUACAUUAUCUAGAAUAAAUCUUUUGAGAUUUCUUCAGAAUAAAUCUUAGUUUUAGGAAAAGUGUGUCUGUUAGAGAAAAUUUACUUUUCAUUGGAACCCUUAACCCAGCUGGAUUGAGGCUCUGUUUGUAUGACCUUUUUGGUCACUCUGCUGCCAAAGAUAAGUGUUUUAGUAAAUAAUUGCAAUUUGGUUUUGGCAAAGGUAACCGAUUACUGCCCACAACUAUUUACUAAAGCAUAAGUUCUAAAUAGCAUACCAAACAGUUUUAACUUGACAAUUAGUAGUGUUUAAGAAACACUCGUCAACUUUCCCUUUACACUUUUGUUUUGCAACAACAAUGACUUGAAAAUUGAUUUCAUUUUUGGUAACUUAGAGCUUCAAGCACUGAGGUACUGUUUAUUGAACUUUUGGGGCUUCAAAACUUGUUUUUUUUUUUUUUUGAUUAUAUGAGACUAUUGCUCAAAUUACAACUUAUAUUACAUGAGAAUAUAACUGAUAUUUACAAAUCAGACUAUAACUGGGACCUACAUACAUCAAUGCUAAUGGAGUGCUGUCCAGAUUUUAACCGUCUCAAAUAUUCGAGGGAUGUCUACUCCUCGCACUGGGGCAAGGAAACAAUAUAUGUUUCGUCAGAACCGAGGUUCCUUUCGCCAUAAAUCUAUGGUCAAAAUUUUGAAUAUCAAAACUUUGUCUAUAGAUCUCUAGUGACCGGAAGCUCUAUUUCCAGUGAAACAUGUACGUUGCAGUCCUCCACCGAUGAGGAUUUUUACGAUACCAAAAAUAACAUCAAAUAAAACCAAAAUGUGGUGUCGGCGCUGAUUUGUGGUGAUUAGCGAUGGUUGAUGUGGCUGUCAGUGAUUUAUUUUUUUGUCUGUAAAUUAAAUUAAUAAAUGUAACAUAAUAAUAAUAAUAAUAAUAAUAAUAAUAAUAUAAAGUAUUAAUAAAUAUACAUAAUAUUAAUUUCACAUAAAUAAUGAUAUAAAAUAUUAUUUUAGAUAAUACAAUACAGUGGAACACCAAACAUCAUACAAUAUUAAUAUAAUAAAUUGUCAAUACAAUGACCCUUAUUAAAUAAUGCAAUACAUCAUAAUACAACAUGGCAACUUGCAUUAUACUGCAUUGCAUUGCAUUAAAAGUUAAAACACGAUUCUUAUGUUAACCCUCCUUCGGCUGAAAUUUCUAGUUGCAUUGCACAAUAUUAAAAAGAUAGGUAAUACAAUGAAAGGUAUAAAAAUAAAACCAAGCGGAGAUAGAGUUUAGGUUGUAUUGUAUUAAAACAUUGUUCAUAUUUUAAGUAUAAUCAUUUAAUCUUUAUUAUUUUAUAAUUAUAAUAAAUUUAUAUUUAUUAAAUAUUAAUUUAUAUUUAAAUAAAAUUUAAUUUAAAUAAUAAUAAUAUAAGAUAGUAAUGAACCUAAAUAAAUAAAUGAUAGUACAUUAUUUUACUUUCAUUACAUAAUAAUCAUAUUAUACCAUAUUAUAAUAUGAUUAUACUAUAUUAUAAAAAGUAAUACAUAUAAAUAAAAUUAUAUUGUAAUAUAAUAGAAUUAAUAAAAUAACAUAGUAUUGUAAUAUCUUAUUAAUUAGUAAUAAUAUACUAUUAAAUUUUUUAUAUUUAUAAAAUUAAAUACAAGAAUAUUUAAUUCUUAAUUAAAAAUUAAUAAUAAAAAAUAUUAAUAUAUUUAAAUAAAAAUAAUUUAAUUUUAACAAAAAAUAAUAUUAUUUUAUUAUAUACAUCAAAUUUAGUAUUGUAUCACAACUCAAAGUAAUACAUUCUAAUGAAAUAAACCAUAAUAUAAAUACAGCGUGUCAAAACUCACCAUAAGAGUACUAAUAUUCUAUUUGCUAUUAAUAAAAUAGGGCAGUUUGGGCUAUUAAUAAAAUAGGGCAGUUUGGGUUUACUGUUAAUAACUCACCUCGAACUUUUUUCGUGUGUGUAUCCCAAGAACGAGAGAAAAUAAUUGACGACCGACGAGUCCUCUCACAAGCUUAAACGGAUCAGUCUGCAAUACCUUUACUUGUAUUUCACCCAAUUUUUUAAUAUAAUAUCAGCUCCUGGAAAAAAUUUCAAAAAAGCUGUUCCUUAAUUAUCUUUCGUACAUUUUCUUCGUAAUACGAGGAAAAUCCAUAGUAUGAUAUUCAUCUUAAUUAAUUAAAAUGAUUAUGGAAUUGAUUUAACUCCGACUUCUCAAACAAUUAAAUGUCUAUUAAUAUUUAUAAUCAGAAAAUCUACCUACUGAGACCACUCUAGAUCAAAUUAAUCUACUAUAUUUAACUUCAGAAUGUUCAUAGAUAGAUCGCUCAAAGCUUUUUGUUGUCGUUUACAAAUAUUUUAUUACUUAUCUUAAGCGCUGCAACUACCGAAAUACAAAUAUAAGAGAUUUUACAAGUGGUGAUGCUGAGUAGUCUGCAUAAUUAUUAUGAAUCAAACAAGCUAUACAAUUAUUGAUGUGGUGGAGUAAAAAGCUAGGAAACAAAAAGGAAAUAAAAGGUAAGAACAGGAGAGUGUAAGAUAUUAACAUUAGGGGAGUCCUAUCAUAUUUUUUUAAAAUAUAAAGAUUAAACGUGAAUAUAACUUAAAAUAUAAGAAUUAAAUAAGCAUCUAUUCAUUCAAACACAACAACUAAAAUUGACCUAAAAUAAAGUUCUAUAAUAAAUAUGAAUAUAAUAUUAUAAAUAAAAUAUGUAAUAUUUUUUUAAUAAUUAAAAUAACUUAGAAAAUUAAUAUUAUCGAUCAAUCAUUCAUGUUCUUUUUUGUUUGUUUUAAAGAAUUUCAAAUCAAUAAAAAAAAUAUGCUACCUUUUCUUGAUUAGAUAAAAGAAAAAAAUUAAUUAGGGAGCGAUUACUUUCUUAAAUGACCUAUGAACGAUGAACCGCAUUCGCCUACCUAAUGUUCCACUACUUUUUUUUAAAUUAAUUUGUAGUGGUCGGCUGCAUGAUUUUUCAACUUUUGUUUUAUUUUUUCUGUUUUUGACUGGCACGGGCCCGACCACUGCAAAUUUAUUUGAGAAUAUUAUAGUUAACAAAUAUGUAACACAAAGUGUGAAGUCGAAACAGGAAAAUUAAAGAUGCUACAAUGAUUAAAACUUUCAUUGAAUUCUAAAUUCAGCUUUUCAGAAGGGACUCCUUUGCAUAAUUGUUGAUAGAAUAUCGACUAUUAGUAAAUAUUUUAUCAUGCAGUAUAAAGAAGAAUAAUCUAGCUCCUUUUGUUUCAGCAUAGCAGCAAAAGCACUGAUCUCCAAAAUAAUAACUCAUCUAAAAUUAGACAAAUCAAUAAUCAUCACUGAGCAUAAUAAUUUCAUGCCAUGAAAGUACUGAUACUAUAUACUCCACCUUAAAUGAGGUGAAUUUUAAAUAAUUUUUGAAGAAUGGGUAGAGAAUGAGGAAAAAAUAAUUCUCAAAUUCUUAAUGGGGUGGGGUUAGUUUUGUACUUCCCACCCCAAAUCCUAUUAUAAAUAAAUAUUUUUUUAGUUUUUAUUCAAUAAUUUUAUUUUAUCAAUUAAAAUGUUGGUUAAUAAAUUUUCUUUUUAUUAACCUAAUAUAAAUAAGUUAUAACUAAAAGAAAAACCUACAUUAUAAUACUUAUUUAACCCUAAAGCAUUCUUAAGUUUUCUUUUUCCUCUUAAGAUACUAUUCUCUUCAAACAUUUUUUAAUUUUAAUAUUAGUUCAAGAUAUUAUUUGAACCUUUUGGAGAUUUUUUAAAACAAUUUAAAUAAUUUGUAAUAUGAUAAUGAAUUUAUUUAAGUUUCUAAUUUUUAAUUUACUGAAAUCAUUUAUCUAUACCUAUUAUAAAAUAAGUAAAUGGAGAAUAGGGUAGGGGUAGAGAAAUCAUUCCUCACAUGAGAAUUCUCCAUCCCCACUCCACUAAAUUUUAUUGGGGAAUGAGAUGAGGAAUAGAGGGAAAAAUUUUAAUGGGGUGGGUAAUGAGGUAGGCCUCCCCACCCCCACCUGACCCCAUUGAUGUCCCUACAUAAAAGAAUAGAAGAUCACUCACCUUUUUUUUUUUUUUAUUUGAUGUAACUCUAAAUCAAUAGUGACUACAAAACAUACGUAUAAGUAUAGAGUUGUUAAAUAAACAUAUGAAAUGAGAGCAUAGGAAAUUGAGUACUUUCUUGAAUCAAAGUAAAGUUGUCUUGAUAACAUGUUGCAAAUCUAAUUAGGAAGUAUCUAAACUAUACAAAGAACAUGAAGAAAGUGUUGAUAACCAAAAACUUAAACUUUGAGAUGGAGAAUUCUAAUUCCUUUCUCUUGCUAGUAAUAUUGUUUGAGGAAAAAUGAGAUGAUAUUACAUGUAGAGAUGCUACCAAUUUAUAGUAAAACAAAACUUUUCAAUUGUUUACAAGUGUCAACACAAAAAUAUUAUAUUAAUAUGAUAAUAGAACAAUUUGGGUUUAGUAAAUCUUCUUUGACUCACAAUUUAAAUAAAUUAGAGGAUUUUAUAUAAAGUGGUGGAAAAUUCAUAAUAAUCAUAGCAUAUUGUCACGUCAUAAAUAAUUUGCACAACAAUUCAUGUGGCACUUAAACAACUUCUAGCACAAAAGUUGCUAAUUAAACCUAUCGAACUUCUCAAACUAGCUAAGAAAAGAUGAUUGUAAAAAAGCUAGAGAGAAGAGUGCAAUGUAGCCAAAACGAAUUUUAUUACUUGAAAGAGAGAAUACAAGAGAGCAUUACAAGUAUGCUUGAUCUACUUAUGCUUGGUGUGUGAUGUUGUGCAAAAUGGUGGAUGCCAUGCCCUAUUUAUAGGGAGGCUUGCCUAGAUCUAGAGAGUUCUAUGCAACUUGCGUAAGUUGCCUAGUUAUCUACUAAGUUCUAGAGUACGCAACUGUAGAAUUAUCUAGAUAUUUACAGUUGCUAUUGUAUUAUAGAGAUUUCUAAAAUUGGAUUGGACUUGGUUACCUUGGAUUUUGGAUUGAGCGCGCCUUGCUACUUAGCAUACUUCGUGUUUGGGCAGUCUUUUAUUGAGCUCACCUUGGCAGGCUAGUUUGGCCUCCUUUAGUGGUAAAUUUGAGUGGUCCGUGACAAUAUGCUAUCUUUUCUUAGUUUUAAAAAAAAUUAAUUAUAUAAACCUUUCUUUAAAAAUGACUCCGAUGAAUUUGCAUUUGUCUUUAUAUAGGAAAAAAAAGGCCUGACCACUAUAAUAAAUGUGUUUAUUUAUUGGUAAUCGGAAUUAAAUUAAUGAUAUGUUUACUUGCUUGAAUGAGAGAAGGAAUUUGAAUCAAAGUGAUGGGCCCAAACUAAAAUAAGGAGUGAUUACUAGAGUUCACAUUCCUAUGGGAGGAGGUGCAAAUGGGAAUCCCAUUCCCUGAGGUAACAAUAUUACCCCCACUCAAAUUUUAAAAUUCUUAUUUUUUCCUUCCUUAUAUAUUAUUAUUAUUAUGAAAAAUUUAUUGAUGAU